UUCUCAUUGCCUCUCCCUUAUAAAUUACUCCAAAUACAAACAAAACCCUCAUUAUCGCAAUUCCCCAAAUAAUAGUUUCGGCGAAAAAAUCUCUCAUAGCGUUUAGAAUCAAUCCAGAAGAAAAUUAUCUUAAAUUAGGGUUGUGGUUGAUUGUAAUAGCAAACAAGAAUCAAAAAUAUGGUAGCAAAAGCUGAUAUCGCCGUUUCGAUUGGUCUAGGGUUCUUCCACGUCUCCACGCCGUUGACAUCUAAGGGUUUUCUUGAUGCUCGCUUCUGAAUCUGUGUCCAUCAAAAUCGCUCGUUCUGAAUCGGUAUGUUUUUAGUUUUUUAUCCCUCUUUUAUGUGAUUAUGAAUUGGGUUUCGAGUAUGAUAUCUAUUAUCUAGAUUAAUACAUUUAAGACUUAGGAUUUUUGUAUCCGUUGUUAUUGACUUGGAUUUGGUGAUUAAUUUGAUCGAUUGAUAUGGAUUAUUGGCUUUUCACGUGUGUGUUAACAUCUGGGUAUUGGUUGGGGUGAAAUUGAUGUUGCCUUUGCAAAUUUAGAGUUUAUUGGCUUACCCUAUUUUUUUUGGAAUGGGUGUAGCUUGAUUAUCAAGAAUCUACUUUUCUUUUAUUUAUAUAAAUUAUUUUAACUGAUUGUUUUACCUUUUACUGAAACAUUUGAUUUUAGGAACCUUGCUUUCCUAUGUUCAAGAGUGUUAAAUGACGCAGAAGGUGCAAGCUUCACUUAAUAUCAUGCAUUUGGAUGAGUACAAUCUUUGAGCAAGAACAGAGUAAAUCAAGUAAUGUGUUCGUUUUAUGUUUACAUCAUAUUUUGAAUUUACGCUGUCUAGUGAUAGCCAAUUUGAUAGUUACAUGUUUAAAUUAUGUUAAGUUUUGUUUAUUAUUGCCUUUAAACUUGCAGAUUAUGAUGCAACUGAUACUCUUUGGAAGUUGGAAUGUUGUAUUUUUGUUUGUACACUUAGUUACUUUAAGUUACUCCGUUAUUUUACUGAAUUAUGUUUUUCUUUUGCAACAGUUUUGAGAUAUACUUGAACAACAAGCAAAUGUCUGGGUAAGUUGAUAUCACUUCUUAAAACUAAUAGCAAUUAUUUUUUUAUUAUUUAUACUUGUUGUCUUUAUUAUCAGACUUCUGUUUGUUGCUUGGUGAAACUAUUAUUCUGUCUUUAAUCUUUCCUAUAAUUUAUCAGUGAUUAAACGGAGUACAAUGGUUGAUUGGUAUUAAACUUAACAAUGGCUUUAAACUUAACAGGUUCUCUUAUUACUCUUGGUUUUGUGCAAAUAUCUAACCAAUUUUUUUUUUGAAAUUCAUAUGAACUUUAUUUCACUUUAUCAAGAUCCAUUUACUUCAUAAGUUUGUAUCAGUGAAUCUUUUGAGUUACUAUUGCACUGACCUAGAUUUGUACCUUUACUGUGUCUGAAUGAAAAAUUGGGCGGCCAUCUUACAGGUUUGAGAAUGAAAAAAUCGAGAUUUGGUAAUUUAAUUUUAAUAUUUAUUGAAUUGAAUAAAUAUUUUUCGAUGAAUUAAUUAUUAGAUUAAAUAAUUAAUUGAUGAAAUUGUGGUAGAUUAAUUUAAUUAUAUGUGUUAUAUUUAUUAAAUUAAUGUGGAGAAUUUUUUAUUAUUCGAAGUAUGUAAUUAUGUGAGCUUAUUGUAAUAAAAGAAAUAUUUAAUAAGCCUAAUAGUAUUUUAAUUAAUUUAAUAAUUAAUUAGAGAUUUAAUAAUUUGACAUUAUUAAUAAAUGAGAAAUUUAAUUAUGUGACUAUGUGGAUUUAUGAGAAAUUAUUAUAUGUUAUUUAAUUAAAUUAAAUAAGAUAUUGACUUUAUUUUAUAAAGUAGUGUGAUAUUAUUUAAACUAUUUUAUAAAGGUUUAAUUAAAUUAAUUGGAUAUAAGCCUUUAAGGCUAACCAAACGAGGCCUUAAGAGGAGUUGAGGGCAGUUAAACCACGUAUGGAGUAACUGACCUCAACUCUGCGCAUAAAGGGUCAGUUGCUUUGUUUUACGUAUUUUGCUAUUAAGUGUUCAAACUGAGAGUCAGAGAAUUUAGAGAGAGUUCAGAGAGAAUUCAGAGGAAUUGUGGGAGAAAACUCUGUGAUUGAAGUAGUAUCUGAAAAGGGAUUGUUAUCUUUACUCACUCUACGCUCUGGGUAAUUCUCUCCAACCCAAUUCUCAUUUUUUUUUCGUCAUUAAGCUUUCAUGAAAAUGGUUUCCAAUCUCUUUGUUAAAUCUCUGUAAAUGGGAAAUUGUGUUGUUAUAUGGAUAUAUGUAAUAAUAUGAUUAGCAUAACAUGUUUAAUUAUAUAUUAUAUAGGUUUCCAUAUCAUCAGUUUCAUAAUAUUAAUGUAUGUUAUGGCUUCAAAAGUAACAGAGUAUAGAAUAUGGCCAUGUGGCCCUUAUACGUGAUUUUAAUAUGUCAAACAUAAUUUUUUUUUGUAAAAUUUUCACUUGUAUAUAAUUAUGCAUGCUAAAAUGAAGAAAACAAAAUUUGAAUGGAUGGAUUUGGUGUUAUAACAAAUCUGUAGUGUUAAAAUUUUAUGUUUUUGUUCAAAACCUUCAAGAACACCAAGAACAAUGAAAUUCGCAUGUUUUAAUUUUGUAAUUAUGUGUUUUAAUUGGUUAAAAUCACUCUAUAAAUGUUGGGUAAUGAUUAUAUACGAAUUAUAACAUGUGGGUAUGUUUAAUCUGGUGAAUUCAAUGACCAUGUAAUGUUAAAUCCGCUUGUUUCUGUGUUCUUCGCGAACUAGAAAUUCAGAAAUUGGAGUUUCGCGCCGCGGUGCCAACUCCAGGCCUAAGACUCGCGCCGCAGUACCAAGACCUAGUAUAACAGUGGCGCCGCAGCGCCACUUAACAGAAUGGUCCAAAAAUGAGUUUUUAACAUGUUUAAAUUUAGCAAUGUGUUGGUAACUUAAUCUAAUUAACAUAAAAACUUGUUAGACAUAUAAUGAGGUGUUAAAAUAAAUUCUUAGCAUGUCAAUAACACAUGUACGUGAGAAUUGAAUGAUUGAAUGCAUAGUUAGCUUAUUGUUCAUGAAGUGUUAAUUGUGACAAUGAGUGUAAUAAUUUGACUAAGUAUAGUCAUGAAUUUGAGUUAGACAAAAAGAAUGAACUUGUGAUGACUAGUACGUUAUAAUUGACUGGUAUUGUGAACGUAAAUGAUAUGUAGGAUUUAAAUCAAGGAACGAGUUUAAUUAACGUGUAAUCUACGCACAAGGCAAGUUUCCUAACCUUACUCGUUAUCUUUAUAUGAGCUUAUAAGUUAUCUCUUUACAUCGAGCAAAUUCUCGUUAUUAUUGAUCAAGUCCAUUUUAUUAUAUUAAAAUGUAUUAAUCUUUCAAAGUAUGAUUCUGUUAUACAAUAAUUAUUCUAUUGUAUACCUUUUGAGAUUGCUAUUCAAUUUUAAAUUAUCAGUUACUGUUGAACUUUGUUAGACUAGUGAACCCUUAAUGAUUCGACUAGUCCAUAGUUGAUGAGCGUUCUAAAUUUCAGAACCCUUGAUGAAUUAUCCAAACCAAACUUCCUUUGGUGCGGACUCUAAUGUCAAACUGAGAUGAACAACCCUGUAUAGGGGAUUACUUAUGCGUUAGCGUUAAGAUAUUGUGCACAGUAUGGUACUAAGGGCUGAUCCCCCUAAGUACGAGAAGAAGAGUCCAUAGUCUUAUGACUGUUAAAGGUUUCAAGUAUAAACACUUGACAACCUAGGACAUAGUUCAAGGUCUUAUGACCCUCAGAAGUUCUUUUAUUUCUUGUUAUUCAUUCCUGAUUCAAAAGUUGAGUUUCCUAUUUCAGAAGUCUUUGAUUUAUUCAAAUAUUAUUAUUCAUUUGUUAUAUUAUUAUACUUGUGGGCAAUCGUGCUCACUCUUGCGUAAUAAUAACAUUGCAGUUAAGAACGAAAGAUCAGACGAGCCUUCCACUAGUAAAGGCAAGGGCAAGAUUAACAAGUAAUGAAGACUGGUUAUUUAUGUGUUUAUGUAAUGAUAUUCAGGAUUUAUAUUAUUUAAAGACUUAUUAUUUGUUUAUGAUUCCGCACAGAUGUUUAAGGUUAGAGCAACCUGGGAUUUUAUUAUUAUGCAGUUAAUGUAACCCCAUAAGGGGAGAUUUAUUUAUUAUUUCUAUCUAUUGCAUGGUUUGCAUUUAUUUAUGGGUAGAUAGAUAGAUGAUAUUUGUACAGUGAACACCAAAUCCUGUGGAAAUGGAAGUACCGGAUUUGGGGGUGUCACAGGUUGGUAUCAAAGCUGUAGGUUAUGAACCUUAGGUGGGGAAACAACCUUAGGUAGUAGCCUUGUAAGAGAUUGAGAACAUAGUAGUGGUAAACUCUUAUCGAGUUAUAAGAAAUGAAUUUCUAAAUUCAUUGAAGAUAAUAAAAGAUUUUAUGUGCUUAUGUGUUAAUCUAUGUGUUCGCUAGCACGGAUUAGUAACUAAAACUUAAAUUUUGUUGUCAGGAUGUCGGAUGUUAGAGGAGCUAGUCGAUCUGGGGAGGAGGAACCCGGAGUACCUACAGAGGAGGAGCCCCGAGACAUUCAUGUCAUCAGGGAACAGUUGGUACAGAGAAAGCCAUCUCCGUUGAUCACUGUUGUUGGUCGGGAGCAUGAGCCUGAGACCGAUCUAGAGGAGGAUUCUGAUGAAGAAGAGGAGGAAGAGGAGUUCCCACAGAACUCCAUUGAUGCUGAGAUGUAUGAUGCACUUUAUGAUCGUAACAUAGAGUUGCAAGACACUGUUCAGGAGCUGGGGAAAGGACUGUUAUGCAGCAGAGUACCAUCGAGCAGAAGGAUGGGGAAAUUGUGACUCUUCACACACGUUUGGGAAACAUGGAGUGAGAUUUGGUUCACGAGAAGGGUCAAAUUGAGGAGAAGAACGAAGAAAUAGAGAAGUUGAAGAAAGAUCUGAAAGAGAGCUCAGAAAGACUGGCAUUAGCAGAGGAGGGCUGGGUAAGAGAGUCACGUCGUGCUGAUCUUGCUGAAGAGGAUUGUCGUGUAAAGAAGGCUAAGCUUGGGGAGACGUACUCUACACUUCACAAUGCAAUGGAUGCAAAGAUGAAUUGUUAAUGAAUAUCUUUGGCUCGUAGUGCAAAGAUGAAUUUAUUAGUAUGAUUAUGAAUAAGAAUUAUGAUUUGGUAUAACCAUGAUUUUGAUGUUUCAGGUAAAGACAGAUGAUGAAAAUUAUCUUCGUCCUGGGUGCGAAGAGGAAUUUAGAAUAACAAUUAUGAUUAUAAGUUAUUCACAUGAUUGUGGAUAGGAAUUGUUGAUUGAUGUUACAGGGAUAAAACAUUAUUGAUGGACUUUUAACAUGGAGAAGAUAAUAGACCCUAUGGUCUAUUUGACUCUUCUAAUGGAUUGUUCGUUCCGCUGCAACUAUGGUUGAAAAGUUUUAUCAUGUAUCAUAUGUUCUAAAUCUCUGAUUUAUUAUUGACGAAAGCUAUUGAUAAUUUAAUUAUCUUUAGUCAUGAUAUUCUUUACUGGGCUAGUUGUGCUCACCCUUUUGCUUCACAAUUCCUUUCAGGUAAUAAGAGUGUUGCCGAGUCGAGCGGGGAUAACAGGGGAAUAGAACGGUGGUCUAUAGCUGUUGAAGUUCUCCCUAAAUAGGAUGGAAAUAAUUUUAUUAAGAACUUUAGAUAAGGGUGUCAUAUUGUAUACGUCAUUUGAUAUUUAAUUUUGGUGAACCGAAUAGGGUGAGGUGAACCCAACUUUGGAAGGGCGUUUUUUCCACUAUCAUACAAGAUGUCUAAUGAUAGACGACUUCGUGUUAUCAUAAGACAAGGUUGUGCACAUCCACUUGCUGAGUAUAUCUACGAGCACUACCUAUAUAAUCUUGGAGUUUAUUUGAAAUAUAAUUCUCACUUGGAGACAACGGAGAUAAUUAUAUGUCAAGAGAAGACUUACCAUUGGAAAGAAGAUUAUAGCAAUCUUUUUGUUUUUCUUUGAGGACUAUUGGUCAACCAAGGAUAAUUCUAUGGACAUAUGAUAUCUAUCAUAACCUAGACGCAUGGCCUCCCAUGUACGGAGGUUUACUUGAGCACUUCCCAAAUAUUUUAAUUUCUAAAACAGUUUUUGACUGUACUUUUAUGUAAAGUACAAUUGUAAGGUUGUGAUUGAGGCACCAUGAGAGUUACAUACAUUUGUAUUAAAACUCACAGUUUAACUGUGGUCGUAUUCUGCACGACAGUUCAAUAGUUGUAUAAAUGAAGUUUGUAUUUGAUUUUUAUAGUAUGAUAUCUGGCGACUCAGAAUGGGUCGUGUGGACCUAUUUUGGGGGCGUCACAAAUGGUAUCAGAGCUUAGGGAUAUGGUCGUUGGCGGAGAUAAGAGUCUAGAACUAGGAGGGGAGAGACGAGUUAUAUACUUCGCUAGUGUGUGACUUACCUAAGCUGAAAUUGUUUACUUGAUAAGUUGACAAAUUGUGAUAUGUCAAUUAACCUUUGUUUUGAAGAUAUAUUCUAGAAUGAUAUCUGAAAUAUAGGAGAUGAGCAAUGGGAAAAUCAUGAUACAGAGGAUAUAACCGGGAAGGUACAAUCCAAAAAGAAAGCAAGGUAUUCUCAUCUCUUCGAAUACCAGGUACGUACAUAAAUUUCAAGGGCGAAAUUUCAUAAGGAGGGGAGAUUGUAAGACCCCGAUUUUUAUGAAAUGAAAGUAUUCAAUUUUCUUAUAAUUAUUAUGUUUAGUAAAUGGUUAAACUUAGAAAAGGUUAAAGUUAAGGGUGAUAUGUGAAAUUUUUUCAAAGUAAGCAAGUUGUCAUAAAAUAAUCGGUGGUAAAAAUAUAGUAAUACGCGUGGUUGCAUAGUAGCACACAGUAUUGAUUAUUGAUGCUUACGUGAAAAGUCACUCAGUUUUAUUCAAUUAUUGUCAUAAUAUUUUAUAUUAUUAAAUCAAUAAUUGAGACAGCAAAGUUAUUCAUAUUAUUAUUUGCAAUAUUGACAAUGUCUAGAAGUUCUGUCAAAGAGAGGUUUGGUCAUCUAAUUGUGCGCCAAUAAGGAGAAAUCUUUAUCGGAAAGCCCCCUCUUUCCUAGGAACGACCUGGUUGUUAAAUAUUGCGAAUUAUAAUAAUAAUGAAUAAAUGUUAUUAAAAAUCGAAUUUGAGUUCGGAGUUGAAUUUAGAGACGCGGACGUGAUAUUUGAGUCCAGAACGAUGGAAUUAGUAAAAAUAAACGGUAAACACAAAAUUUUUCGGGGUUAACUUUUUGGUCAAAAAGUCAACUGUUGAUUUUUUUAGAAAAAGUCAAACUUCAAAUUUUCAAAAAUAAAAUUUUUGAUAAAAAUAGUUCCAUUGUGUUGGAAUUAUUAAUAUUAGUGGAAAUCGACAUUUAUUUCGAUAUUAAUUGAUGUCUGGAGGUUAUAUUGACCAAUCGGGUAAUUCACUGGAUAAAUGAGCAAUUAAUUGUUAUUAAUUCACAUGAUUAUAACUAUUUGUUCACAUGUAUGUACUAUUGAUUCACAUUCUUGUACUAUUAGGGGAGUUGGUGCAAGAUUGAUAAUACUUGUAUGACUUAGUUAAAAAUGAAGGAAUAAAUGGAGGUACUAUAUUGUAAUUCGUAUUUUCACAUGAUUAUAACUAUUUAUUCACAUGAUUGAACUAUUGAUUCACAUUAUUUACUAUUAGGGGAAGUGGUGCAAGUUUGAUAAUACUUGCAGGACUAAAUUAAAAAUGAAAGAAAAGUUGAAGGUAUUGUACUGUAAUAUUUUGAGCCCCAAAACGUGCAAUUAUCGAAACUAUAUUUUCCUAUAAAUAGAAGCUCAUUCUUCCUUCAUUUCUCACCAAUUCACUAAAGCUAUAGAGCAAUUAUUAUAGAGAGAAAUUAUAGAGAGAAAGAAGAAAAGAAGUUUUCUACCUCACUAUUCCAGUAUCCAGUCUUCUUUUGAGGUAAGAGAUAUUAUUAUUAUAGUAAGGGGUAUUAUUUCUUUCAUAUUCAUGAAGAGAGCUAUUGUUAUUCCAUUCCUUAUUAUUCUGUUGGAAUAACCUGUAUACGCGGACUAUCGUAUAUAAGGUGAAAUUCUUAUGUUAUUUCAUUCUUUAUUAUUAUGUUGGAAUAUCAUGUCUGUGCGGAUUACGCAUAACCUGGUUCCAUUCUUUAUUAUUCUGUUGGAAUAACCUGUCUUUGCGGUCUAUUGCAUGCCUGGUGAAUUCUGUUGUUAUUUCAUUCUUUAUUACUCUAUUGGAAUAUCCUGUCUGUGCGGAUUACGCAUGACCUGCUUCCAUUCUUUAUUAUUCUGUUGGAAUAUCCUGUCUGUGCGGAUUACGCAUGACCUGGUUCCAUUCUUUAUUAUUCUGUUGGGAAUAAUCUGUCUGUGCGGUCUAUCGCAUGCAUGAUGAAUUCUUCUGUUAUUCCAUUCUUAAUUAUUCUGUUGGAAUAACCUGUCUAUGUGAAUUACCGCAUGCAUGGUGAAUGAUCCUUUGUAUUCAUUCCUUAUUAAAUUGUGGAAAUUAUCUGUCUACGUGGAUUACCGCAUGGCGGGUGAAAAUCCAUUUGCAGUUUUGUAAGUAUUCUGACCCUCAAAAAUUUUGAAAAAAUUUGAAAUGAUAAUUUGAUGAGUUUUCUAGACUGUGUCCAAAAAUGGAGAUUUUUGGUUGUAUAGAUUAGGAGUUAUGAAUUUUAUGGAAAAGACUAUUUUAAAAGUAAACCCUUAUAACUCCUUAUGGUUAACUCCAAAAUUGGUGAAAUUUUUAUUGGGAGUACAUGUAUAUAACAGAAUUAUACCUUGUAAAAUUUCGGAAUUUUUGGACAAAAGUAUAAUUUAUGAUAAAUGUCUAAAUAUUCGGCAGUUUUGGCCAUAUGAAAAAUAGUAAAUAAAUUUUAAAAAUUUCGAGAACAAUAUAUGUUCAAUAUGGGACUAUAUUCUGAUAAAUCCCAGAAAAGAAAUAUUUUUGGGACUGAUUUGGUAUUUUUCAUGAAAAUGAACUAGUUAUGAGUAAAUGAAUUAAAUAUGUUAUGUGAAGUAACAAAAUUGAAAAAUAGGAUUUUAUGGCUUGGGAAUCCUAUAUAGGGUAUAUGCAGAUUUUUGAUGAGGGAUUUGAUCAUUGGUGAUGAAAUCUUAUGAGUAUGGCAUUUUUGAAUGAUUAAAUGCAUUAUUUGGUAAAGUGUAAACAAUUGAAAUAAAUUGUUUAUAAGUUUAAGAAGUGAUUAAAAUAUUGUUAUAAUAUUAAUAAUAUUAGAUUAUGAGUUUAUUAAGUGAUUGAUAAUAUUUGGAUAAAUUUAAAGUCUUUAAUAUUUAUCCUUAUUUUCGUUUGAUUAAUGUUUAUAUCAUUGUCAUAAUCCUCAUGCUUAUAUUGUGAUGAAAGUCAUCUUUGGCUUACGUGGGCUUACGUGCAAAGAUGGACUGUUGAUUAUUGGUUUUAUAGUUGUAUAUCUUUGGCUUAUGUGCAAAGAUGGACCGUUGAUUAUUUGUUUUAUAGUUGUAUAUCUUUGGCUUACAUGCAAAGAUGGACUGAUGAUUAUUGAUUUUAUAGUUGUAUAUCUUUGGCUUACGUGCAUUGAUGGACAGUUGUUGGUAUGAUUAUAAUCAGGGAUUAUUCGGUAUAAUCAUGACCAUUCUUGAAAACACGAAUAUCCUUGGCCCGUAGUGCAUGGAUAAUUCGUGGUCGUAAUACUAAUGAAUAUCAUUGGCCGUAGAGCAGGGAUGAUUCGAUGCUAUGGAUUAAUUAUUAAGCUGAGUUUCAGCGAUAACAUAUUGAUAAUAAACUUUUAAUUCAUAGAAGAUAGUAGAUAUCAUGCUCUACUUGACACUUUUAUAAUACAGUUGUAUGUCUUUGGCCUGUAGAGCAAAGAUGAAUUGUUAAUGAAUAUCUUUGGCUCGUAGUGCAAAGAUGAAUUUAUUAGUAUGAUUAUGAACAAGAAUUAUGAUUUGGUAUAACCAUGAUUUUGAUGUUUCAGGUAAAGACAGGUGAUGAAAAUUAUCUUCGUCCUGGGUGCGAAGAGGAAUUUAGAAUCCCAAUUAUGAUAAUGAGUUAUUCACAUGAUUGUGGACAGGAAUUGUUGAUUGAUGUUACAGGGAUAAAACAUUGUUGGUGGACUUUUAACAUGGAGAAUAUAAUAGACCCUAUGGUCUAUUUGACUCUUCUAAUGGAUUGCUCGUUCCGCUGCAACUAUGGUUAAAAAGUUUUAUCAUGUACCAUAUGUUCUAAAUCUCUGAUUUAUUAUUGAUGAAGGCUAUUGAUAAUUUAAUUAUCUUUAGUCGUGAUAUUCUUUACUGGGCUAGUUGUGCUCACCCUUUUGCUUCACAAUUCCUUUUAGGUAAUAAGAGUGUUGCCGAGUCGAGCGAUGAUAACAGGGGAAUAGAACGGUGGUCUAUAGCUGUUGAGGUUCUCCCUAAAUAGUAUGGAAAUAAUUUUAUUGAGAACUUUAGAUAAGGGUGUCGUAUUGUAUACAUCAUUUGAUAUUUAAUUUUGGUGAAUCGAAUAGGGUGAGGUGAACCCAACUUUGGAAGGGCGUUUUUGCCACUAUCAUACAAGAUGUCUAAUGACAGACGACUUCGUGUUAUCAUAAGACAAGAUUGUGCACAUCCACUUGCUGAGUAUAUCUACGAGCACUACCUAUAUAAUCUUAGAGUUUAUUUGAAAUAUAAUUCUCACUUGGAGACAACGGAGAUAAUUAUAUGUCAAGAGAAGACUCACCAUUGGAAAGAAGAUUAUAGAAAUCUUCUUGUUUUUCUUUGGGGACUAUUGGGUCAACCAAGGAUAAUUCUGUGGACAUAUGAUAUCUAUCAUAACCUAGACGCAUGGCCUCCCAUGUACGAAGGUUUCCUUGAGCACUUCCCAAAGAUUUUAAUUUCUAAAACAGUUUUUGACUAUACUUUUAUGUAAAGUACCAUUGUAAGUUUAUGGUCGAGGCACUAUGAGAGUUAUAUACAUUUGUAUUAAAACUCACAGUUUAACUGUGGUCGUAUUCUGCACGACAGUUCAAUAGUUGUAUAAUGAAGUUUGUAUUUGAUUUUUAUAGUAUGAUAUCUUGCGACUCAGAAUGGGUCGUGUGGACCUAUUUUGGGGGCGUCACAUUCGUGGUCAAACCACGUUGACCGGCAUUGACCGGGAGAUUUUUGGGUAACCCAGAUUUCCCCAGGUCGGUCUGACAGCGAGUUCAUGGGCUUUAAUCUAUUAGUUGUUUAUUGCUUUGUUUAUGUUGUUGUAACAAGAUUGUUGUAUGGUAUAUGGACUAUAGAUUAAGGCUUAUAGAUCACCUAAAUAACAUACGAAUUUGAUUUAAUUGAUGAUCAAACUAGCCUGGACGAUCAUGAUUGAAGUUUUCUAAGUAACCUAGAAAACUUAAGAACACGGUUCUGACAUGGAUUUGACCAGACCUUAUCUGCUUGAUUUGUUGUUAUGAUGAUGUUAUGUAAUAGAUCUGUACACCUACAUGUUGUCUACAAUCUAGGACUUUUAAAUCACUAAACCAUUACAUGAACCACAAGUUGUGGAAGCCCAAAUAUGAACAGUCGAACUGUUGUUCAUUUUUGGGCAAACCCAGAAAUGAAGAACAGCUCUGACAGCCACUUUAGAUGCCCAGAUCUCCUUUGUUAUGUAUUGUGUGAUCAUGAUUGUUGUUAUAACAUGUAGUAUUACAUUAGUUCUACAAACAAUGAUCAAUAGAUAGCCCAGAAAACAUCAUGAUCUGAUCAGCAAUCUUGGUCAAAGUAGGCCACUUGAAAACUGACAUGAAUGUUCUAGGUUUUGCCAAGAACAUGAAGAACACCUAUAGCGACGGUUCUGUCGCUUUAGGCAGCGACACUUUAUUUCUAAAAUUAAUUAUUUUAUUUAAUAAUUAGAGAAAAUUAGUUUUUAAUUAUUUAAAAUACAAAUUUAAUUACUAAAAAUUAUUUUAAAGUCUGAAAAUUAGUUUUUAAUAAUUUUUAAUAUAUUUUAUAAAUAUUUAAUAUUUUUGAAAUAUUAAAGGUAUUUAAUUUAUUUAAUUAUUAUAUUAAAUAAAUUAUUUAAAAAUGAUUUUAAUACUUGAAAAAUUAUUUAAAAUUAUAUUAUGAUAUAAGAAAAUAUUUUAAGUUAUUUUUAAUGACUUUUAAUAUUUUGUGAUAAAUUUUAUUAAUAAAUUAAUAUUAAUGAUAAUUAAGUUAUUUAAUAAACGCAUUAAAUAAAUUAAUUAAAAAUGAUUUUAUUAUAUUAAAAGUCAUUUUAAAUAAUAAUAAGGUAUAUAAAAAUAUUUGAAGUUAUAAAAUAUAACUUUCAAUAUUUAAAGGUAAAUUUCAUUAAUAAUGAUAUUACAAUUAUUUAAUAAUUAUAUUAAAUAACUUCGUUUAAAAAUAAUUUUAAUAUUAUAAAAAUUAUUUCAAAUGAAAUUAAGGUGUUUAAAAAUAUUUGAAGUUAUAAAAUAUAACUUUUAAUAUUUAAAGGAUAAUUUCAUUAAUAAUGACAUUAAUUUAAUAUUAAUGAUAUUAAAUUUAUUUAAUAAUUAUAUUAAAUAAAUAGUUUUAAAAUAAUUUUAUUGAUUUAAAAAUCAUUUAAAAAGGAUAUAAUUGAAUUAAAAAUAUUUUAAGUUAUAAUUAAUGACUUUUAAUAUUUUGAUAAAUAGUACAUUAAUAUUUAAAUAUUAAUGAUAAUUAUUGAAAAAUGAUUUUAAAUGUUUUAAAAAUCAUUUAAGGGUAAUAGCAGUACUUUAAAAAUAUGUUAAGUUAUUAUAAAUAACUUUGAUAUUUUGGCAAUGGUUUCAUUAAUAGUUUAAUAUUAAUUAAAUAUUAAUGAUAAUAAAAUUAUUUAAUAUUUAAAUCAUUUAAUAAUUAUUUCGGUGGUUGAAAAAUCAUGAUAAUUAAUUAAAAAUUAUUAUAAGUCAUUUAAAAAUAAUAUGAUUGAUAUUUAUAGUUAUUGAAUUACAGGAUGGAGUCUUAGACUCGAUAAUUACCCGAUAAAGCCGUCGGUACACCGACAUGUUUCAAAAAUUGAUCUGGACUUAGAUAAUUUGAUUAGAUGCGUGUUUGUUUAUGAUCCAAUGAUUGUUAAACAUGUGUGAUAAUGUGAUUAGGUUAUGUGCUGACUGCAAUAAGCAGUAUUAUGUGUUACAAUAUGUUAUUCUAAUCAGUAAAAUGAUCUUAUUACUGAUAAGUUGCUAUAUAAAAGAUAAAACUAAGUUGCAUAACUGUAAGCAGCAGACCAGGCAAGUAUCCUACCUUUGCAUUUACUUUAUACAAUUGACAUAAAUAAGAAAGUUUUAGAAUUAUAUUAUUAUUAUGCCAGAUUAUUAACCCUAUUGUUAUAUAUAUUAUAUCCGAUCAUUGUUUAUCAGCAUAGUAUUAUAUUAUAAUUCAAAUAUUUUUUCUGUUUGUUAAUUUCUAUAUAUGGUUCUACAAGUGUCCUCACUUGGAUAAUCAUUGUAUUUAAUCACAUGUUGAUACACAUUUAUAAAUUUUCAGUAUGUAUAUGUUAACUUAAAAGCCGUCUAAGCUAAUUGAUUUGGCUAGACACAAACUUAUAGAUUAUUGUUGCACAAGAUAAAAUCUUACUAUUAUCCAACCGAAUUAUUUUGAUUCGGAUUUCCGACUAAGUAUAAACAUCACGUAUAUGGGAAAAUUUUUGUGCGCCAAAGACGGUUAAGAUGAACGAUAAUAUCGUUCUUUCAUGUAGUAUUAAUCAAUACAGGGCAUAAAGGGCUGAUCACCCCCCGUGCCCGUAAGUUAUGACGGUUUGUAGAUGAAGUUCUGUUUAACCUUUUCGAAAAUAAAAAACAAUGUUCAUAGUCUGUCGACUAAUCCCCAGAUAUAGUCAGUACGUAGUUUCAAAAAUUUGAUAUAGAAUUAAUAUAUUAUUAUUGGUUCAGUUUACUUCACAACUAUUGAUUCGUUGUAAAAGUGUCGUACAAAGAAAAUAUUUAAUCCUUUCAGCUAAUAUUUAUAAUUGCUAUUACUUGCUGGGCACUCAAAUACUCAUCCUUGCUUAAUUUAAAAUAUUUUCAGCUAAGUGUGAACAACUAGAAGGCUCGGCUAAGAACAAAAGGAAAGGGAAGGUUGCAGAAUAAGUUGGUGCUAUUUUAUGUAAUAGUGUAACUUUAUUAAGACUAUGAUAUUAUUAUUAUCAUGUAUUAUAAUAAAUGUAUUAAAGGUUACGUACUUGGGUUUAAACUCUGAUAAAUAUGUAAUUUAAGUUUGAUAUCUAUAUUAUUGUUAUUAUUAUUAGUAUUAUUCUACUCAUAGAAAUGGUAUCGUGAAGCACCGAGUUCGGGUUUCAAGUACCUGAAUUUGGGGGCGUCACAGGUAACCCAAAAAAAAGUGAACAUCCUCUAACGAGAUUGUUAAUUCUCCACAGUUUAAAUAAAAAGUAUUAGUCUCCGGCAGCCAUCUCUCGAUAAGGGCAGAUAUAAGUCCAAGGUCAUUUUGGUGUACAACACCUCGAAAACUAAAAACUCCAAACCCACAUUUAUCUAAAAGGAUUUUUUGUUCUUUUAUCAAAUUCCACUGUUUAUAUUUUUGUUCAGUAUAUUGACUCGAGCCUAGUUUUCCCCUAUCUUUCCCAUGAUAUAUGUCUUCUGAUACAUGAUCUUAUUGAUCAUGGAGAACACUUGGAUCAAUUGGCUUAUAUUCCAAGCUGUCCAUCUUUUACCUAAAUACACAACAAUAAUCCAUUAUUAGUAUUAAGAUUUAGAUAAUAAUUUGACUGAUAAUAAUAUUAAUAAUAUUUAUAUAUGAAAUACUAACAAAAAUAGUUUUUCAAACAUACAUGACAAAAACAGUUUAAACAUGCAUGACAAAAUAAUAAGCUGUAACAUGCAUGACAAAAACAAAAAUAAUAAUGAUUAUUUAUAUAAUAAUUUAAUAGUAUAAUAUGCAUGAUAAAAUAAUAAAUAAUAACAUGCAUGAUAAAAACAGCAAUAAUAAUGAUUAUUUAUAUAAUAAUUUAAUAGUAUAACAUGCAUGACAAAAUAAUAAAUAAUAACAUGCAUGACAAAAACAACAAUAAUAAUUACUAUUUAUAUAAUAAUUUAAUAGUAUAACAUGCAUGACAAAAUAAUAAAUAAUAACAUGCAUGACAAAAACAGUUUAAACAUGCAUGACAAAAACAACAAUAAUAAUAAUUAUUUACAUAAUAAUUUAAUAGUAUAACAUGCAUGAAAAAUAAUAAAUAAUAACAUGCAUGACAAAAACAACAAUAAUAAUUACUAUUUAUAUAAUAAUUUAAUAGUAUAACAUGCAUGACAAAAUAAUAUCAAUAACAUGCAUGACAAAAAUAGGAUUAACAUGCAUGACAAAAACUAUUAUUGCAUGUAAUGAGCAAAACAGUAGGUAUCUAGUGUUUGAGUGUAAUGAGUUAUUAUCAUUUAUGUGACGCCCCCAAAUCCGGGUCCCUUCGAACCUCGGACCCGGUCCGCCACGAUACUACUAUUGUCAAACUAUUUAUAUUUUGUAUUCAUAACUUAAUGAAUAUAACUUUACUUAUUACAAUUUAGAAUAUAAAUUCUUUCCAUUUCCAGGAUCUAUGUAAUGACCCCAAACUUUUAUAAGUUUCAAAUCUUGGUCAUUUAUCAUUCUUGUCUUACAUCAUAUUUGAUGUUAUAAAAAUAUGCGGAAUAAUUUAAACUUUUUCAAUCUCCUUUGAAAAUAAAUCUUUUAUUGAUAUCUUAACUUGAAUCAAUUACAAAUCCUUGAAUCAAAUUAUGUUAUGAUUCAUUCUAUUCAAAAUUACUGUAUAAAUCUUUACACCUCGAUUCGAACUCCUCUAUGUAUCUCAUAGUACAACUUAACAUGUAUUACACAUCAUAAACUACUAUCAUGUACAUUUUCUAGAACCUAAACAUGGUUCAAGAGUAUAUAUUUAAACAAAUGAAUUAAUCUCCUUUAAUAUUAUUGAUCUUUAUCAAUCAAGUAGCACGUAAUCUUUACCGUGUGUUCUUAACCUGCAAAAGUGGUUAUUUGCAAGGGUGAGCUCGUCAGCCCAGCAAUUCUAACAGUUUUCAUGCAGCACAUAACAUAUAAUAGCAUAUUCAGUUCAUGCAUUCAUAAUCAAUUAAUAUUUAAUACGCAUGUUACUUCUCACAUAAUAGGCAUAGAUAUUUACUUCACAAGCAUAUCAUCAAAGAUCAACUUUUAACUUUUAUACAUAUCUCAUAUGCAUUUCAUAUAUAUACAUCAACAUUCGCAUAACAUAAUAUAGCUCAACUAACAGUUAUAGAAUUCAUAUAUCAAAUAGGAACUGAAAGACUUGCCUGAUUUGUAGUUUAUUAACUAUGACUUAACUUCUUAACGCUUAUCUGUACUUCGUGUAUUCCUACAUAGUUAUAUAGUCAUGGAUUCAUACUGAUUAGUCAUAUAUUCAUACAUUCUCAAUGUAAUAAUAAUGUUACAUUAUUUCCUAACUAGGUUCGUAAAACCUACACUUCACUUUCUCAUCAUAUUCUUAGAAUAGCUAGGUAUGUAUAGGUAUACCUUAACCACUCAUACUUGAUCACAACAUUCAUAAAUCUAUCACACACUUGACUCACUAUGUGUUCGACACAUUUAAAACUCAUAUACGUACAGAUAAACGUCUAACUUAGUUAUAACUUCAUACCACAUCACCUAUCCUAUAUUUUCAUAACACAAAUCAGAUGGUAAGACAUCACAAAUUCAAACAACGUAUCAUUGUUUUAUAUCUUGAAAACAUUCUUUUGGAUUUAACAUUUGAAAGUCAUAAUUAACAUUCAUCGCUAUCACAUAGCAUGCUUCCUACACAUCACAUAGUAUAUUGGUCACAUAUUAUAAGUUAAAGAAAUCAAAUAAGCAUGCCUCGAACUUCAAAUCAAAAAUAGAACUAUUCAUGACUAUAGGAUGGCGCAGCUGUGCCCUGUCUAGGCUUAGGGAUGACGUAGCUGCGCUGUCCCCUGGCUAGACCAAGGUUGAGCUUUGCACUCCUGGUUUCAGUCUAGACUUUAACACACUAAGACUCUUACACUUCACAUGCAUACAUGCUAGAGGUCUUUAUAUAAGUAUAUGACCACUCUUAAGUUCAUUGUUACAAGUUUUAGUUCACGACUUUCUAUGAAAUUAAAACAUAAAGGUCAUGUAUUCAUCAUGCUUUAUAACUUUGGCCAUAUUUCUACAUAUAGAGGUCUCACAAUCUGUUCAUACAUAUGAUCAUGGUGUUCAUAUUAUUUAUUCAUAACUAGCAUUGUUUAACACUUUGAAACAUGCUUAAAACUCAUGCUUGAUUAAAUUAUCUUUGUACCCAAAACAUGACAUCUUAAAUCUUUAAAAUCUAACUACUCAAACUUAAUGCAACUUGAUUUGAAAACAUUUUCAAGUUCGCCUUUGAAAUCAUUUUAAACUUGAACAAUGCAAUUCAACACAUACAAGACAAAUUUAAAGCUCUUAUCAUAUAUAGUUAAGGCAUGUUAAUAUCUUCACAAGAUCAGAAUGUACAUCAUGUAGUAUUCAUGCAUACUUUCUUUGAUAUAUAUCAUGCUUUUCUUUUAAAACAUUUUCUAACACAAAGCUAAUAAGUUUGAUCAUGACAAGACACUAUAAACUUCAUAUUAUGCUCAUUCACAUCUGAAAUCAAUCAUGUGUAUAACAUACUAAGCUCAGAACUUGUAGAACAUGAGUUUCAACAAAGUUCAUUUUCAAAACAUAAAGUUUUUGUUAUAAAUCUUUCACUAAUCAUGUUGAUCACUUCACAACACAUAAUAAAGCUUUAUAAAACAUGUUAUACCUCAUUUAUAUGUAUAUAAAAGUCAUAGAACCAAGUUUGCAACAAAUUAGCCCAACAAAAAUUAGUAACUGAAUCUGAGUUACGGCGCAGCUGCGCUGCACCCUAGUAUAAAUAGGGCGUAGCCGUGCCAUGCCUGGAACAGAAGCAGUGACCUGCUCUAUUUUGUAGAGCCUUACCCAACUUUGAUUCUUUUCGAUUUAAACAUGUUCCAAUCCAUCAUUUAAGAGUUCAUAUAUGUAAGCAUACCUCCUAAUCACAUCAUAGCAUGUUAAUUCAUAUCAAUUGACAUAGGAUUCUAAAGAAUUUCAAGAAUUUAGCAAAAACCCAACUAAGAACAAAAGUUAAGAUUUUAUACCUCCUGAAGCUUAAUAAUCUUAAUUUCUUCCUUCUGAGAUAUCUAGCCUCUCCUUUGAACAACAACUCACUUAAUCUCAAUUAUCAGAGUUUUAAUGGACAAAAGCAAAUAACAAAAACACUGAGAAAUAAAACUCCUAUUUAUAGAGAAAUGGUGAACUGGCUAAAAGAUUUACACAAAAGAUUGCAUCCAUGGUGUAGAAGAAAAACCCACUGGUUAAUGAAGAGUGGUUCAACUACCAUUUCCUAGCCAUUGGCCUAACAAUCAUCACCUAAGCUUAGCCACUUGGAAGUUACGUAACUUAGCUUCUAGAUCACUGUUCAUGUACCUUUGUGCCACUCAAUUUGGGAUAAGAGAACAAUCUCAGCAACUUAUUAUUCUAAGGCUUGGUUUUGGUUCUUUAAUUCCCAUAAUGUAAUAUUAAGGUACAAUUAUUACCAUAUUAGAAAAAUUAGGGACUAUUUAUAUACUCACAUCAUAUAAUCCAUGUACAUUAGAUACAUGCAAUAAAAUAACACAGUUAGGUAUUAUUGUUUGGGUAGUUUUAUAAUUAACUCUACUACUCACAUAACCAUAUUAUAACCUUAUUUAUGUUUAUUUAAACAUUUAAUUCCUCUCUCAGUUUCUAGAAUACACAGAUAUUUAAUCAUUUAUGUAUUAAAAUUACAUAUGACAUCAUUGCACUACUUGGUACCUUAUAUCAUUAGUCCCAAUUAAAUGUCACACUUCAUGUAUUCUUAGGCCAUAGGUAUUAUAUAUUACUACCGCCCACAUUUUCCAUAUAGUAAUAUUAUUAAUAUUUUAAUUGGGCUAAAUAUCAAUCAGUUGGGUACUUUUAACCCAUUAUCACCUUUUAAUAUCACAAUAAUUAAUUAAUAUUAAUCAUUUAUUUUUUUUUAAUAAUUAUUAUUAUGCACUCCACUAAUUAAUAGAAUAUAGUAUUCCAUAAUAUCACUUAAUUAACCAAUAUUUAUUCCGGGUUAAUUAAUUAAAUCGUUAUUCAAGUCAUGUUUUGCUAACUAAAUUCCUUCAUGAUCACUUAGUCACCAUUUAUGACCAUUAUAUGAGUCUCUAGUCUUCAUUCCUUAAAACAUAAAUUCCACAGCCUUACUCAGAAUUUUCUACAGACCGGUGCAACUGCGCUGGUCAUAGGCUUGUAAAUGGCGCAGCUGCGCCAUACCAAAAUCAGAGGCAAACAAGUUCUGCCUUAGCAGAAAUAAAACCUACGCUUACACAUCCUCCUUAAGCGUUAAUUCGUCUAACAUUAAUCUCCUCUUUGAUUCCACAUCCUUGGUUACUAUUUUCCUUAACAAUUUAAGGAUCACACUUCAAGUUUUAAAACUCUAUUUCACUUAUUAGUUUAACCAACUAUACAUCUCCGUUACGGUUUCUUAUCACCAAUAACACAAAACUCGAAUAUAACACAUACAUACAUUCCUUAAUCCUCACUUCUCGCAGUGUAUCAAUUUACUCAAUAAUUCUCUAACCACCUUAAAGGUAUAUCGAUUUUCUUUUCUCGUCAACAACGUACACGCAUACAAGUCUAAACCUAGCACGCGUCGAGUCUUUAAUAGUAUUCAAUGUAGUACACUGAGUGGUUUCCCACAAACAACCAGCAAAUUAUUUUUUGUCUCGUCUACACUGCUUUCACAAUGAGUUAGAUCGGUUACUAAUUCGUAUAUACCUCCGCUCUCUGAAGAAAUUAUUUAGCCCAACUCCUAUACAUCCACCAUUAAAGGUACGGUUGCACUGCCUUAGACUUGAUACUCACUCGUACAUGUACUCAAGAAAUUGGUGAUUAUCAAAGAUAUUUUAAUGUCACCAACUUACUAUUAUAAAAUAAUUAUUUAAUAUAAAUAGAUAAAUUUUAUCCAUCUUCUUUACUAAUUUAUUUCUACAAUUUAUAAAAAAUAUAUAAUAAUGAUAUAUAUUUAUUAAACACAACAUCACUUAUUACAUAGCUCAUAUUACCCUAUGUAACAAAAUACCACAUACCUCGUAACAUAUUUAUAUAUUCUUGUUUGAACCCAUCUCAUGCUUUAAGAAUUUUAUUUACUAAAUUCUUAUUUUAAUGUUUUCUAAAAAUUCGUGUUCUUACAAUUUAUAUAAUUUAAUAGUGUUAUUUUAUUAUUAUAAGAAAAUAAUAAUAAAAUAAAAACUGUUAAAAACUGAACAAUAACAAUAAUAUAAUAACAAUACCAAUAACAAUAUCAAUAUCUUACCAAUAUUAUUAUUAUUUACAAUGCCAAUAAUAACAAUGUCAAUAAUAAAAACAAUAACAAUAAUAUUAAUAAUAAUAUUAAAUACCAAUAACAAUAUCUUACAAAUAAUUUUGUGUCUUCAAAAUGGGUGUAUGUAAUCCAGCCGGUUCAACUUGUGUCCCAGUUUGCUUCUCUCUCUUCCUCUCUCUAUGAUUUUUCUCUAGCUUUAUGUUACUGAACUUUAGAAAUACUCCUCUCUUACUAGAUGGUUAAAUAAGCUCAAGCACUAGCUGGUACAAGUUCUUUUUUUCGGACAAAAUUUAAAACCAAACUCAGCUUUUUAGUUUUCGAAUGUCAACUUUUCAGCUUUUUACUUUUUCCAUGUUGCAUGUGUUCUUUCCCGAGGUGAUGUGGCAGAAAAAUUAGUCAAAGAGCUAAAGCUAACUGUUCGGGAUUAUUAUUAUUAUUAUUAUUAUUAUUAUUAUUAUUAUUAUUAUUAUUAUUAUUAUAAUACUAAUAAUAAUAAUAUUAAUAAGUAAAGCCGUGACAGCUUAUUUCGGUCUGGCUUAUUAUUAUUAUUAUUAUUAUUAUUAUUAUUAUUAUUAUUAUAAUUUAUAAUAAUAAUAAUAAUAAUAAUAAUAAGUAAAGCCAUGACAGCUUGUUCCGGUCGGGCUUAUUAUAAUUAUAUUAUUAUUAUUAUUAUUAUUAUUAUUAUUAUUAUUAUUUUAUUAAAUUAAGAGUAAUAAUAAUAAUAAUAAAGAGUAAAAAAAUAAUUAAUAAUCCUGGCCGCUACAAGCUGUACCUUUUUACAAUAAAAAAUUAAAAAAAAUUCUGGAAGUGCUCGGCCACUACAAGUUGUACCGGCUUACAAUAAAAAAUUAUAAAAAAUCCUUUUUUGCUCCUUAUCAGAUUCGAACUCGCAACCUCCCACUUCAAACCCGCGUCAUAUGACCACCCGAACACCACGGGCCUAGCUGUUCCUUUCUCGCAAGGAUUAGUCUUUAUAUUAAAACUUUACAUUUCCCCUCAUCCAUAUAUUAUUAUUUUAUUAUUAUUAUUCUAUUAUUAUUAUUAUUAUUAUUAUUAUUUUAUUAUACAAACAAAACCGCUACAUAUUGUAGCGGCUCUUCAACUUUUUAUUAUUUUAUUAUUAUUAUUAUAUUUCUUUUAUUAUUUUAUUAUUAUAAAUAUUAUUAUUUUAUUAUACAAAACAAAACCGCUACAUAUUGUAGCGACUUAUAAUUUUAUUAUUAUUAUUAUUAUUAUUAUUAUUAUUAUUAUUAUUUUAUUAUACUAUCUGUUCAUUUGUUAUUAUUUUAUUAUUAUACUAAAUAUUUUAUUAUAUGUCCUUGAGAGAUAGAUAAUUUUUUGUGUAUACCAACGUGGUCAAACGUAAUAAUGAUAGACUAUCAUGUACACUAUGGGAAUGGGAAAAACUGACAUUGGGAAUGGGUAAAAUAAAUAAAUUUGAUGCAUUGAGCAUUAGCCGCUACAACAUGUAGCGACUGGUCUUUUUACCCUUUUAAUAUUCUUUUGCAAGCUGAUAUUUCCUCAAGUUAUCUUUCUAUCCUUCCUUUCCCACAUCUCCUCCAGUUUGGUUUAUGCUCUCGGAUAUUAAUUUCUCUUUUCACAUCUACACAGAAUUUGUACCAUCUGGUUGCCCAUGCACUUUCACUUCCCAAGUUCAAGUUGAAGUUCUGAUCGAGCAAAAUUCUUCACUAUUAUUCAAAAGUAAGUUUUUCAAAAAAAAGUAUUUUUAUCUACCUCUUAAGAUUGUGUUGCAAGUUUAAAUUGUGAAAAUACAUUUGAGUUUGUCAGUGAAGUUGAAAGUAGUAAAUCUAAAAUUGUUCCGUACGUUGGUCAAUUAUUUUGUAAGUUGGAAGAGGUUGAAAAUUUUUAUAGAUCAUAUGCUCGUAAAAAUGAAUUUGAGAUUAGAAUUGCAACUAGUCAUAAAUAUGCUAAUACGAAUGAUGUAUGAUCUAGGAUGUAUGUAUAUGUAAAAAAGCUGGUACACCAAUUGUUGGAAAGAGUUUACCUGAUGAUGAAGAUGGUAGUAAUAAAAUAACUAGACAGAGAGACUCUAUAGGAUGAACAUUGUGCAAAGCUAGAAUAUAUGUUGUCCACAAUAAGAAAGAAGAUAAUUGGCGUAUUUCUACUGUUGAAUUAGAGCACAAUCAUCACUUAGUGACCCCCACCAAAGUAGAUUUGAUAGAGACACACAGAAAUAUUACUCCUGUUGCAAGAAAAUUAAUUGACACUUUAAAUAAGUCCGAUAUUGGUCGUAGUAAGAUGAUGAAUGUUUUGAGCAUAAUGGGUGGUGGGUUGCAAAAUGUUCCUUUCUCUAAUGUAAAUGUUGAGAAUGUGGUGCGAGAUUUAAGGCGUGAUUCUGCAGAUGAAAAUGAUGCAUAAGCUGCUGUCAAUUAUUUGAAAAAACUUGAAUCUGGAAGUGCAAGUAAAUUUUUUUUCCCCGAGUGAAACCCGGUGAAAACAAUCGCAUAGCUUGUAUUUUGUGGGUUGACGCCCGAUCAAGGUUUAUGUAUCAACAGUUCAGAGAUGUUGUGACAUUUUGAUAGUACAUAACGGACAAAUAAGUAUGGCAUGCCGUUUGUUCCAUUUUUUGGGGUCAACCACCAUUAUCAGUCUAUAUUAUUUGGAUUUGCAUUAUUAAGAGACAAGAUAGAGGACAUUUUCGUUUGGGUAUUAUAGACAUGGCUUGAAGCCAUGGACUACAAGGCACCUACAACCAUCAUCACUGAUCAAGACAGAGCCAUGAGUAAUGCUAUUACUACGGUACUUCCUUCUAGUUAUCAUUUAUUGUGUUCUUGGUAUAUUAGCAAUAAAUUUCCUGAAAAAUUGCAUUAUGUUUAUUCUGAGCACCCAUCAUUCAAAAAUGAUUUUAACAACUGUGUGUAUAAUUCAUUGUCCAUCGAGGAAUUUGAAGAGCGUUGGCAUAUUCUGAUAAGUUCUUAUGAAUUGUAUACCAAUGAAUGGCUUGGAAGUUUGUAUGAUGUAUGACAGAAAUGGAUUCCAGCAUAUACAAAGAGAUAUUUUGCCGCGGGAAUGAUUACCACCGGAAGAAGCGAGAGCAUGAAUAGUUUUUUUGAUGAGUACGUUAAUGCAUCAACAGGUAUGCUAUGUUUUGUACUACAGAGUCAGAAGGCUAUAGAAAAAUAAUUUAUCAAAGAGAGGAAGGUCGACUACAUAACAAAAUAUCGUAAAAGGAUUAUGGUACUCGGUUCAUCUUUAGAAGUUCAUGCUGCAUAAGUGUACACAAAAGAGAUGUUUAUACGUUUCCAAAAUCAAUUCAUCGAUUCCAUGAAAUACAAGGUUCAUAAAUUUAGUGAGUUGUGUGUCACUGAUACUAAGGUUUAUGCAGUGUAUAAUGCAGAUGCAACUGAAAGUGGUGGAAGAUAUAAAGAAGUUGUCAACAAUCGCCAACUAGGAUCGGUAACAUGAAACUGCCAAAUGUUUUCUCACUCUGGUGAAUUAUGCAGGCACAUAUUGAGAUAUAUCAUAACAAAGAGUAUUUCACAAAUACCAAGCAACAUUAUUCUUCAUUGGUGGACAAGAGACGUGGACAAAAGUAAUGGUGAAGACUUACUCUUUAACACCAUAGUUGCUGACUUCGAACAAGAUCAAGCAAUGCGCUAUAAUCAUUUGAUGAGUGAUUACCAGGAGUUAGUGAGUGAAGCGGCUUGCUCAGUUCGAGGUUACAAAACUGUUCUUAAACUGAAUGCACGAGGAAAAGCGUUGGUUGACCAGUAUGAUCCGGAUGAGAAUAUUACUGAAUUGGCAGAUGACGACAUUGAUUGCACGAUUGGAGAUCCAAAUCAUGAUAUGGAAUACGAUAAUGACGAUGAAGAUAUAGAAGUGGAAGCAGAAGAAGAGUUUUUGCCGCCUAUUAUUUCUCAGACAAAGGGCCCCAAAAAACAAUCUAUAUUCAAGAGUGUACUCGAGAAAAUCAUUCCUUCUAAGCGUCAUCGAAAAUGUGCAAUUUGCGGCUUUGAAACUGACCACGAUAAGCGAAAUCACUAUCGAGUGCUAGGGAUUCCUGAGCCAAAAAAAUAGGCAUCGGAUGUAUUAUUUAUGCUAUAUUUUUUUUAUUUUAUGAAAAUGAACAUGUACUCUGUACUAUUCAUGUUAAUGUCAUGUAGUAGUAGUAUUGGUAUAAUCUGUACUUCUAAUAUUGAUAAUCACAUUAUUAUUAAUAUUAUUAUUAUUAUUAUAUUUUGUAAAAUUAAUACAUGAAUAUCAUACUCUCAUACUCAAAUAAUAAUAAUAAUAAUUUAUAUAAUAAUAAUAAUAUUAAUAGUAAUAAUAACAAUAACAACAACAACAACAACAACAAUAAUAAUAAUAAUAAUAAUAAUAAUAAUAAUAAUUAAUAAUAAUAAUAAUUAUUAUUAUAAUACUUAACUACUUUUAUAAAUUAAAAUAAGUAAAAUAAUUUCCUGAAAUGUCCUGAAAAGUUAUGAUCAUUACUUAUUAAACUAAUUGAACUUGAUAUAUUUUCAAACUCAGAACUUAGGAGAAAAUUGAUUUCAUAAUAUUCAAUGGACAUAGUUCAUAAAGGAACAUGACUUCAUAAAAGAAUAUGGCUUAAUUAUUAAUAUUAAUAUAAAAAUAAAUAUUAAGAUUAAUAAAAUAAAUUAUUAUAAUCUUCCAUCAUUUAAAUUCCACUCUACCAAUUUACUACCACUUUCAUAAAUAGAUAUGUCAUUCAUUUCUUAUCAUCGAAACACCAACAUUUUUAAUAAUUUAUAAAAUAAUAUUAAUAAUAAGAAUAAUAAGAAUUGCUGAAUAAUAAUAUUAAACUUAAUAUAAUAAUUAUAUAUAUACAUUUUGGGGGAAAUGUAAUGUUAUUUUAAUAAGACUAAUAAUAAUAAUAAUAAUGCAAGAUGGAAUAUAAUGAUAAUAAUAUAUUUUAUUAAAGACUAAUAUUUAUUUUUAUAUUAACAUUAUUAUUUAUUUUUAUAUUAAUAAUAAUAUUAAAUUAAAAAUUAGAAAAAAUAUUAAAAGGGAUAAUAAUAAUAAUAAUAAUAACAAUUAACUUUUUUCUAUUUUAAUAAACCCACUUUAUUAUUAAUAUUAAUAUAAAAAUAAAUCGUAAUACAAGAGAAAAUGUCUUUUUGGGGGAAAUGUAAAAGUUUUAAUAUAAAGACUAAUCCUUGCGAGAAAUGAACAGCUAGGCCCGUGGUGCUCGGGUAGUCAUAUGACGAGGGUUUGAAGCGGGAGGUUGCGAGUUCGAAUCUGUUUCGGAGCGAAUAGUUUGAAACAAUUAUUUUAAAGGCCAAGGGAAUUUUUUUCAAUUUUUUAUUCCAAGUCGUGACAAGCUGUACCGGCCGACCAUUUUAAAUUUUGAUUUAUUCUCAGCUGCAACAACCUGUACCGGCUGGCCUAUUUUUUAUUUUUAUUUAUGUGAGUUUAAUGUGUUGAGUCAUGACAUAUAAUGGAGAAAUGCGUAAAAAAAUAAUUAAAAAAAAGGCACAGCCGGUUUAAGUUGUACUGGUUGGGACCUUUUUAAUAUUAAAAAUUCAUUUUGUUUAACUAUACUGACAACAUGUUGAGUAUGUGAGGCCUUUAUAUUAAAAUAAAAGCCGGUACAUGUUGUUAUUUAGACACAACAAGCUGUGCCGGCUUGGUAGAAUUAUGUUUCAAUCUCAGCUUUCCAAUAAGUUGAUCUAUGGUCCAAAAAGGGGUUGUUGGCAUAGUGUCCAUGGCAACAGGUUUCCAUGGAUGGAAUCCCUAUAUAUAUAUAUAUAUAUAUAUAUAUAUAUAUAUAUAUAUAUAUAUAUAUAUUGUAACGCCCCAGAAAUUCGAGCAAAUUGUAAAUUAUUUUAUUUGAUUUAAUAAUGAAUAAAAUUAGAUUAUAUGUGAUAAUAAGAUGAAUGUCGUUCUAUAACCUAGAUACGUCGUAACGUCGUAGUAUUUUGGCUACAUGAAUGAAUUAAAGUGUUUGAAUUUCCAAGACGAAAAUAAAACCGUUCCGAGAAAUUUUUUGAAAAAUACUAUUCACACAUUUUUACUCGGGAAUUAUUUUUGAAUUUUCGAGAAACGCGUAAUGAUAGAAUUCUAAGACGAGAUGGAAUAUCCAAUAAUAUUUUAGUUAUGUCAAACACAGUUUUUCGUCUGUGGACUUAAAACUUAUCGGUUAGGGAAAUCGAUUUCCAAGAAGGAAUUGAAAUGCGUAUAGUGAAUUAAAGUAAUGAUCAUAUAAUACGUAGGUAUUAUACGAGGUAAUGAAUACGAGUAUAAUAUGAGAUAUUAUACGAGUAUGUAUGAAUGAUGGUAUGUCGUAUAUUAAUAAGUAUACAAGUUAGAAUACGAGAAUAAAAGCCCAUGUAUAAGUUAAGCUAAAAGCCCAAAGUAAGAACCAUGGGUUAGUGGAUGAUUAAAACCCAUGGGGCAACCCAUGGGUGAUCCAAAGUGAUAAGCAAGUAAAUUUAAUGGCUAAGUAAAGGAUAAGUUAAGUGGUGAGCAAGCAAAUAAUGUGAUGAGCAAGUAAAGUGCUUAUGUGUGAUAAGAAAGUAAAGUGCUUAUAUGUGAUGAGCAAGUAAGGGAUAAGUUGAGUAAUGGCCAAGUAUAUGCGGUGAUCAAGUAAACUUGAUGGUUCAGCUAUGAAUAGUAAGGAGGUGGAUGGCUUAUUGACCAUUAAGCCCUCAAUUAGGAUUUCCUAUAAAUAAGAGAUGCCUUAGUUCAUUUCUUAGUUGUUAGAUUUUUCACCAAUAACUUAUAGCUUAUUGGUUAGAGAUAAAAAGCUACAAAAGCUAGAACAAGUUAGUCUUUGUUAAUUCAAGAAGCAAGAAAAAGAUUAAAGCUUAAUCAAGUGAUUAUCAAGGGUAAGAACCUAAACCAUGAAUCUCUUUCUCUUCAACUGUUAGAGAAGUGAGUAAUGGUAGAACAUGUAUGCUAAGAAGAAGUAGGAAUGAAUAAUCUAAGAACUUAAGUCUUAAUAAGCCAUGAAUAAGUACUUUGUUCAUAGAUAAAUUAUGAACCAAGGAAGAACUUGUAAUAUGUCUACAUAAAUGAAAUUUGUAUGAUUUGAAGAUGAGAGGAUGAUGGUUAGAAGACUUAAAGUAUGAUAAGUCAUGUGAAGUAAAAUCAUAAGUAGUUUAUACUUUUAAUAAGUUAUAAACUCAUGAAGAACAAGUAAUAACUUAUUAUGUAAAUAAGUUAAUGAAAUAUGCAUGUUAAGAUGUUAGUAUGAUGGAAUAAAUCCAUUUGAAAUGAUGAACAAAUCAUAAGUAACGAAGUUAUGCCGGAAUUCACACGAUUAGACGAUAAUCGUCGAAUUCGUGAAAUUCUCGGAAUGGAAGUCAAAUUUUGACAUUAAGUUCAGAAAUGAUGGUUUUCGAUGGAGUAUAGUCUCAUUUGGCAUUAUAGAGUUGCGGACUUGAAAAUGACAAAAUUCUGACUUAGAACGAAGAAACAAGCGUUGAACGUUCAUGAACGUUUAUCGUUUUCGUUAAAAUGAACUAAUAGGUGAAUUUUUAGUUAACAGAUUCGAAAAUGGAAAAUUCUUACAUUAACACGUAAUGUAUGUAAUUUGUGAGCUAAGGGCUUCUAAAUGAGCCAAUUCGGACUUAUAACGAAGAAGUUAUGAGCCCGAAAAGUUCAUUGAAAAAUUUAUCUGCAAAUUUUUCUAGGACUGAGGUCUGGCGCUGCAAAGCCAGACAUAGCUAUAUAGGUCGCGUAGCAGCGCUGGGGCGAAGCGAGUGGCCACUGCAGAGUCGCGCUGCAGCGCCACUCAAAGGUAUAACACUCGCGCCGUAGUGCCAUGAACAGUUUGGCCGGGUACUGGAUGUAAUAACCCGAUAUUUUGUAUAUAAUUAAAUUAAAAAAUUUGCGUAUAAAUUUUUUAUUUAUUUUAAAGGUGAGGAUAUGUACAAGAUAAAGCGUAUGUAUUUAUGUGAUAAAUAAAAAUAUAUUUAUUACAUGAAUAAUUACAAAUAAUUUUAUUUUAGAAUUAUUGUUCAUUAUAAAUUAUAUUCUUAUAAUAAUUAAUUUUAUAGUAGAAAUGUUUUUAUUAAUUAUUUACCAUAAAAAUAUGAUUUUAUAUUAUUUAGAAAUGAUUAUUAGAAAUGAUUAUUUUAUUUUAUUGUAUGAAUUUAUAUUAGAUUAAUUAAGUUAAUUAUUUGAACUUAAUUAAUAAUGUUAUAUAUGUAAGAUAAAUCAGAUAUGGAAUCCAAAUCCUAAUUUUGGAUUUUAAUCAAAGGAUGAGAAUAAUAAUAUAAUAUUAUUUUAUUUCAGUGCUAUAAAUAAGUAUUGUUUAUGUGUGGACUGAUAAUGGUUGGUCAAUUAUGGUGCAUCAUGACCAAACCCUAGCAUUAAUUUGUUUAACACUAUUUUUUAAACUCAAAUGGGAGAUUCACGACUGUGUAGUGAUUGUGUUAUAUGAAUAAUGACAUGUAUUGUAGAAUUUAGUCUUAAUUAGGAAAAACCCUAAUUAUUAUAAACCCUAAUUCAAAAGUCGAUAUAGAAUUAAUAUAUUGUUAUUAUUGUUUCAGCUUACUUUACAACUAUUGAUUCGUUGUAGAAGUGUUGUACAAAGAAAACAUUUAAUCCUUUCAACUACUAUUUAUUUUUGCUAUUACUUGCUGGGCACUCAAAUGCUUAUCCUUGCUUAAUUUAAAUAUUUUCAGCUAAAUGUGAACAACCAGAAGGUUCGGCCAAGAACAAGGGAAAAGGAAAGCAAACAAAAUAAGUGUUAUGGUAUUCUAUGUAAUAGUACGACUUUAUUCAGACAAUGAUAUCUAUUAAUUAUCAUGUAAUGAAUGUGGUAAAGGUUGCAUACUUGGGAUUAGACUCUGAUAUAUGUAAACUAAGUUUGGUAUUUAUAUUAUUAUUAUUAUUAUUAGUAUUAGUAUUAUUUCCGCUCAUAGAAAUGGUAUCGUAAAAUAUUGAGUUCGGGUUUUAAGUACCUGAAUUUGGGGGCGUUACAACAUGGUAUCAGAGCUUUAGGGUUAGAAACAUUAAGUGGGAUAGACCUUAGGCUAUAACCUUGGGACAGAGGGAAACGUUGAAAAUACAAAUAACUCAUAUAGAGUUUAUAAGGAGAUGAAUUGGAUAAAUUCAUCGUUAAACAAAAUAAAAGAUAACUUAUAUAAAACUAUUAUUUGCUGUGUGUAUAUAUUAUAUGCUAAUUAGGAUAAUUUAUGUGUGUAGAUGUUAGAUAGAAAAGGAUUAGGAUACCCUCAGAUCGUAAAGAAGGAGCCAACCUCCAUAACCGAACCAAUCUCAAAGCCAAUAGCUGAAAUAGAGGCUCACAUUGAAAGCAACCCUAAUGAGAUCAUUAUACUGGAAAAUAUAGUAUCGGACCCAGAAACGGUAUUAUAGUAGAUAGGUAAAGUAUAGUUAGAGAGUAUAUGGUCAAGCUCGAGUUCUUAAACUCAUAUAUUUGUGGUGAGUUCUUAAACUCAUAAUGUGUGGUAAGUUUGAAGAACUUGGUAUAGUUAUGUAUGAAUGAAUUAUUUAGGAUAAUGGGAAUAUAUAGAAUACUAAGCAAUUGAUCCUUAGUGAAGGCGUAAGAAAUAAGUAGUAUUAGUAUUACUUGAAUAUGUAUGAUUCUAUGUUGUGUAUAUGAUAGGUAUGUUUGUAUAAGGUAAUAUUCUCCACUUUUGUAUAAGUUGUGGCAGCGAUUCUCGACUUUUAAGUCACAAAGGGAUAGCGGAUGUUUAAAGCAGUAUGUGCUAUGGUAUGUCAAGUGCUAUGAAUAUGAAUCUAUGUUGGAUUACUGAAAUAAUUUGGUAUAAAGAUAGUAAUUAUUUAUCUGAACACUGGUUAAUGCAGUAAACCAAAAUUUUAAAAUCUAAUAUUUUGAAUACAUGAUUAUUUGAGCAGAAAAUUUCGCGUUAUAUGCCAAACGUAUACGAUAAGGCUUAGGAUGUAAGUUAAUAAAGAAUAAUUUAUGAUAAUGCCGCUAAGACGAAAAUGAAACCAAAGAGCAGAAGAAUCUGUCAGCAAUGCUGGAGGACAACCAAACUAGAUACAUAAUUUUUCGAAUAUUGUCGCUCAAGAUAUGCAGAACGGAAUACCAGCCGUGGGAAAGCAGCCAGAUAAUCGAUUAGCGAACUUCAAAGACUUCAAGAUGGUCGUACUGCCAGGAUUUAGAGGAUCAACUGACCCCAUAAAAGCGUUUGUGAUAGCUAGGAUAACAAAGGGGCAAAAGACAGCUUUUGCCACCUAUACGAUAAAAGGGGAGGCGAAUUUUUGGUGGGAGGCAAAUCAAGCAAGAGCCGGAGAAGGGAGUAGUGGUGGUAGGACUGGAAAAAGGAAAGGAGAUAAUUUCGGGAAUACCAAAAUUAGGCCAGAAGAUGAAAAGAAACAGGUUAUGUUGUGUGGGAAUUGCGGAAAGAAUCACUCGAGAGAGUGUCUUAAGAGUAAGUUUGUGUGUUAUAAGUGUGGGCAGAAGGGACAUAUCGCUCCCAACUGCCCCAAUCCUAGGGUAAACAGUGGGUGUUUCAGGUGUGGAUCAAUGGAGCAUAAGGUGAAGGACUGUCUGAAAAGGAGAAUGGAGGCAGGAAGCGUAAAUACAAGGAAAAGUAGCGGGACGCUGGCGACAACAGGACCAACUUCAAUAAAUGAACCAACAGAACAAACCGCAAGAGUCUUCAACAUGACUGUUCAAGAUUCGGUAGCAACCGUGGAUGCACUCUAGGUAUUAUUUGUAUAAAUUUUAUUUUCUUAUAUAUGAUUUUCUUAUAUAUAAUAAAUUAUUUUAUAAAGAAAUUUUGAUGGAGGAAUUUGAGUUCUAUUAAAAAUCAAAUUUCCGUUUAAUCAGAUAGAUAAGCUUUAUGCUGAAUAGUUAAAGAUCAAUUCGAUCAAUUAUGAUCGAGAUCUACAUACAAUGAUUGUGUAUGCUAUGUACCCUUGUAUGUAUAAGUUUUAAAAUGGUGAUUCUGGGGACGGAAUCUUUAUAAGGGACGGUGAAUGUAAUAACCCCAUAUUUUCUAUAUAAUUAAAUCUAAAAUUUUGCAUAUAAUUUUUUUUUUAAUUUUAAAGGUGAGUAUAUGUACUAAAUAUAUAUUUAUUACAUGAAUACUUACAAAUAAUUUUAUUUUAGAAUUAUUGUUCAUUAUAAAGUAUAUUCUUAUAAUAAUUAAUUUUAUAGUAGAAAUGUUUUUAUUAAUUAUUUUCCAUGAAAAUAUUAUUUUAUAUUAUUUAAAUAAUAUAUGAAAUGAUUAUUAGAAAUGAUUAUUUUAUUAUAUUGUAUGAAUUUAUUUUAGAUUAAUUAAGUUAAUUAUUUUAACUUAAUUAAUAAUGUUAUAUAUGUAAGAUAAAUCAGAUAUGGAAUCCAAACCCUAAUUUUGGAUUUUGAUCAAGGAAUGAGAAUAAUAAUAUAAUAUUAUUUUAUUUCAGUGCUAUAAAUAAGUACUGUAUAUGUGUGGACUGAUAACGGUUGGUUAAUUAUGGUGUAUCAUGACCAAACCCUAACAUUAAUUUGUUUAACCUUAUUUUUUAAACUCAAAUGGGAGAUUCACGACUGUGUAGUGAUUGUGUUAUAUGAAUAAUGACAUGUAUUGUAGAAUUUAGUCUUAAUUAGGAAAAACCCUAAUUAUUAUAAACCCUAAUUCGAAAGUCGAUUACGACUUUAAGAAAUUGUUAAGUCGUUAUGUAGUUGUGAUAUGGUGAUAAUGUGUCUAAUGACAGGUAUUAUAUAUUUUUACCCUAAUUAGGGAAAACCCUAAUUAUUAGAAACCUUGAUUAGUAAUUUAAAACCCUAAUUACUAAUAUAAAAAUCCUAAUUUUUAAAUUAGUAACCCUAAUUGCUAAAAGAAAGCCCUAAGUGCUAAAUUAGCAAUCUUAGUUAUAAUUUGUAAAACUUAAACCUAAAUUACAUGUUUUAUAUUAUUAGAAAACCUAAACUAAUUUAGAACCCCAAAUUUGUAAUUUAGGAAACCUAAUUUUUCCAUUUUAGCCCUAAAUGUAAAAUCCUUGAAAACUAAAUUGUUUAACCUUAGGGUUAAACCCUAAGGGGCAAACCCUAAGGAUUGUGACAAGUUACUAUAAAGCCAUUAAAUUUGUAAGCCUAAUGUCCAUAUUUCCCUUUUGUCACAUUUUUAUAAGAUAACUUGUAAAUCUAGCUAACAUAAUGAGUUGGUGACUAACUCUAACCUACCAAUUGACCAAUUUCUCAGCACUUUAGCUAUAUAAUUCAUCAACCAAUACAUUAUAACAUUAUAUAUAUAGAUUAAAGAGAGAGAAAUUACUCACUUUAUUGCUCAUAUGAACCUAGACAUUUUCUCUCUAAAAAUUCGGGACUUAGAGUGAGAGGGAGUGUUAAACUAAACCCUGAUCAGUUCAUAGGCUUCUAUAAACAGAUUCAAGGAUCAGAUUCAAAGGAUCAAAGCCAAUAGAGGUAUAAACCCUAAAUUGUGAAAUCCUUAAACUUUUGUGUUAAUGAUGUUGUUUGUUGGUUAGAAUGGUGUUAUAUGAUGUUAUUAAGUGAUCUGGGUUGGUAAAUGUUAGAUCCAUAACAUCUAUAGGCUCGGAUUUAAUGAUUUACAAAAUCUAGAAAAAUUUUAAAACUGUGGUCUGAUAACGAAUGUCAGAGCCUCUAGAUCUCUCUGUGUUAUGUGUUUAGUGGUGUUUGAUGUUAAAGAUCUGUUCUAUGUUGCAAGGGCUUUGAUCUGAAACUUUAAUCAAGCCCAGAUCAUGUGUAUAUUGCAAGAUAUAAGCGGUCAAAGUACGUUGAUCAUGCAUGAAAACUGGUUUUCUGGGUAACCCAGAAACCCAGAUUUUGUCUGACAGCGUUUUCCAAACCUCUGAUCUUGCUUCUGGUAAUGAGUUAGGACAUGUUGUUGGUUUCAUGUUGUAGUGUAAUAUAAGGACUACAAAAUCAAACCUUUAUAUCACCCACAACAUGCAUAUAAUUAUAGAUAUUUAUGGUCAAAGUAGGUUGACCGAACUGCCUAAUGAAGGUUUCUGGAAAACCUAGAAUCUUCAAGUGCCGAUUUUUCUGACAAGGUUUGACCAGCCUUGAUCGUUCAUUUGUUUUAUUGUUAUGAUGAUCUGAUGAUAUGUUAUUGUUCCUUGUCAUGUACUCUAUAAGUGUGAACCAUUAGAACGAACAUAGAAAGCCCAGAACGAUUGAAUCAGGGCUUGGAAAGUAGGUGCCUCGACUGUUCUUCAUUUCUGGAAAACCCAAAAAAUGAACAGAAAGCAAACAGAACAAGUGUUAUGGUAUUCUAUGUAAUAGUAUGACUUUAUUAAGACAGUGAUAUCUAUUAAUUAUCAUGUAAUGAAUGUAGUAAAGUUGCGUACUUGGGAUUAGACUCUGAUAUAUGUAAAUUAAGUUUGGUAUUUAUAUUAUUGUUAUUAUUAUUAGUAUUAUUUCCACUCAUAGAAAUGGUAUCGUAAAGCAUUGAGUUCGGGUUUCAAGUACCUGAAUUUGGGGGCGUUACACUGAAAAGUGGCGCCGCAGUGCCACUAGUACAAAGGGAUGCCGCCCCGCGGCACGGGCAGUGGAAAGUAUGGGACAGGUAAUUACUGAAGGAACAUGAUAAAAAAACCUUUCCUAAAUCACUUUUAUAGUGAUGACUUAGGAAUUUAAUGUUGUUUAAUGAGUAGUUAAAUGAUGAAAGUAAAGUGUAAGAACGUGAACUGUAUUCAAUAAUGAUGAUAACUAUAACGUUGAGAGUUACAACUAAAAGUUGUUGAGUAAUACGUGAACAUGAACGAUAUGCAAUAAGUGUAGACGAUCGAGUCUCGGAUAGUAACAUAGGAACGGUAGUAAGUUGUGAGGGGAAUGAUUAACUUGAAAAGAGUUGUAUUAAUGAAGUAAAUCCACGUAAGACAUAGAAGAGAAAGAAGUUGGUAAGAACGAUAUAAAUUAUAACGGCAAGCCGGAACCAAUAAUAACAAAUCUAAUCAACAAUUAGAUUGAGAAGAAGGGUAAAAUUCAUUAGGAACCAUGUAUGUUCAUUCAUGACCUAAUAUGAUAUGUUAUGUGGUUAUGUGUUGUAAAAACUGUAAAGACUCAAAGGGAAAGUAAUUUUACUAUAGUAGACGCUGAAAGCAAGUUUUCUUAUCGCUUGUCUAACCUUUGUGUUAGCCAGGUUUUCAGUGAUUCAUGUUAUGAGAUGCAUGAAUUAUUUUAAAGAAAGGGUCGAUGCCAGUUUUACCUCGGCUAGACUAAUCUAAAAAGAUUGAUUGAUUUAUUUACAAGUCUUUCAAUAUUGAAUUGAUAAAGCUAUCCUACGCCAAUUGUUUCAUACGAAUUCAAGGUAAGCUUGAGUAUGAAUAAACAAAUGUAUUUUUUAUUGAUUAUUCGAUGGGCAAGCGAGGUUGCCAAAACUUAAACGUAAAUACGUUUAACGGAUGUAGUGUUGAUCAACAUAGAGUACUAUAGGCUGAUCACCUAGAAGUGCUCGUAAGAAAUGUCGGACUUACGGUCUUAGUACCGAGUUGUCCUUUUCAUGAAUAAAAGCUAAAAAAAAUGUUCAUGGUCUAUGGACCUACUCAGAAUUUCCCAUCUACUAUAUGUUCUUUGGAAUUAUUUUUAUGAGAUGAGAAGUGUUAUUCAAUGUUUUGUAGUACUUCAUAACUAUUGUUCAGUUAUUGAAGAAUAAUCAUAUGAUUCUCGAAGUGGUAUCUUUAUAAUAUAUUGUUAGACUUGCUGAGCUAGUUAUGCUCACUUCUUGCUUGAAUCAUAUGAUUGAAGCUAAGGUCGAGCGAACCGAGGGUUCCAGUAGAGAUAAAGGCAAGGCAAAGAUGAACGACUAGUUUAUUCUGUAAUAGACUAGUAUGUUUGUAUGAAUUAUAUUACAACGAACAAAGAAUGUAACAGUUUCAAAACCUGGGAAUGGGAUGUAUUAUUAUUAAUGUAAUAAGAAUGUCGUUGAUACAUAUAUUUUAAGGUUGUUUCAAUAGAAUGAAUGUACAGUUAUGAGUACCAUGUAGCACCAUCUGUCGGGUUGGAAGAUACUCGAAUUUGGGGGAGUCACACACACACACACACACACACACACACACAUAUAUAUAUAUAUAUAUAUAUAAGACCCCAAAUUUUUUUUUUGUAUAAAUAAAAUUGAAUUUCCUGUAUUCAUUAUCUUGAAAUAUAUAAUAAGGAGUUAAUUUGAUAUAAUGCUUUGGUUAUGGGUGAAAUUUGCAAAUUUUGCAAAAUAAGCAAGUGGUUAUAAAAUAUUCAUUGUUGUCGUGGAAUAUUCGUUUGGUCAUGAAAUAUUCUUACUGUCGGGGAAUAUUCAUACGACGACGCAGCCAUUUGUGGGCCCCAUAAUAGAAUAAUUGUCGGAUGAAGAAAGCGACAAGUUUGAAUUUUUAUAAAUAAUGGCGUAAUUGUUACCAUUAACACUAUUGAAUUUUUUGGUGGUUAAAAUACAAUAAUACGUGUGGUUGCACAGUAUCAUACGGUAUUGCACAAUAUUUUUGAAUUAUUGAUUCUUAUGUAAGAAGGCACUACUCAAUAAUUGUUACAAUAAUUACUGUUUAAUAUUUUAUUUUAUUGAUUCAAUAAUUGUUGCGUUGAUAUUUUAUAUUAUUAUUGUUUUAAUAAUUGUCAUUGCACAGUAUUUCCCAUUAUUAGAUCAAUAAUUCAUAUUAUUUGAAUAAUAUUAUUAUAUAGCAUUAUUGACAAUGUCUAAGGAAGUUCUAUCUAGGAAAGGGGUUUGGUCACCUAAUUGCGCGCUAGUAAAGAGAAAUUCUUAUCGAAAAGCCCCCUCUUUCCUAGGAAUGACCUGGUUGUCAUAAUUGUGAUUCUGUAAUUUUAUUUGUGAAUAAUUAAUUAUUGAUUUAUAUGAUAAGAAAAUAUUUAUUUUAUGUGGAUAUAAAUGAAGGAUGGGGAAAUAUUUAUUUUAUGUGAUUAUAAAUGAAGGAAUUAAUACUGGGGUGUUUUAUUAGUAUUUUGUCAAAAUGAAGAAUGAAAUUUGGAAAUUUUCAGAAAAUUAGUUUAUUACUUGAUUUUGUAAAAUCUAUAACUCUUUGUGUAUAAUGAUUGAGGAGAUGAGCCAUAUAUCAAAAGAAAUCCAUGGAAGUAAGCUAAACGUAGAAAUUUGAAUCACCCAAAAAUUCUUUGUGGAUUUUUCGUGGUGACUGUUUGAGUGAAACUGGUACGAGGGACUUAUAGUCCGAAAAUCAAAUCAGUGUUCUUAAGCUCUUUUGCAUGAGUUAUAAUUUUGAUCUGACCGUUGGAUCAUUGUGAUUUUUGGAUAUGUUAUACAUAUAUAAUUUGAGUAUAUGCCACAAAUUUUGAUCCGUUAAAAAUUAACGUAUGAUUUGUUAUGAAUUUUAAGAGGUGUUGAAAAUCGUCCGUAUAUGAAUUUCGGUCAUUUUUUGUUUGGAAUUUGGAAAAACUUUCUUCUAUAAAGUUGUAGAGAAAUCGAGUUCCUAUGGAAUAGACAUGAGAUUCAAAUUUUUUUGAUAAAAGGGCUAUUUAUUAUGAAUUAUUGAAGUUUCGAAAAUAAAUAUUUUAUUAAAAAUAUAGGUGGGCCCCACUUUUAGUUGUUGGGAAAAGUUGGCUGAUUUUUGUUGAGCCCCACUUAUGGUGGCUGAGUUUUGUUCAAAGGUGGCAUGCAUAGAAGAAAAAAUAAAUAAUAUUUUAUUAAUUUAGUCUUCUUUGACGUUCAAGCAUUUUUUUAUAAAUAGGGUGCUUAGUUAGAAUUGAAAAUCACACUAGAAACAAGUUUUUUCUUUCUCUAUAUUAUUGAGCGUAUUUUGUGAGUAUUUAGAUACUCUGAGAGUUGUUAUUCAGUGCAAGUUUCAUUCAGCUUUACAUCCGAUAUUCCAGUCAGUAAUACUGUUCUUUUGAGAUAAGAGAUGUUAUUUUCUUCAUAAAUGAUAUUAUUUUCUUCAAUAUCAUUAUGUUGAAAUAUUGAUAUGAAUUUUAUUAUGGAAUUUCUACCUUUUUCUGUCGGGGUUACUAUUCACGUAUACGACACUAUUCACGAAUACGGUACUAUUCACGAGUAUUGUUCACGAAGUAUGAUUUUUCUUGUGGAAUUUCUACCUUUUUGUGUCGGGGUUACUAUUCACUUAUACGACACUAUUCAUGUAUACGACACUAUUCACAAAUACGACCCUAUUCACCGAAAAAUAAAAUUUUCUCUUCUUUGUCCCAGAUGUCUAUUAUGGUUACUAUCUUUGAUUGUAUCCAUGUUUUGAUCUUCAUUCUUGAAUUUUACUCCAUUAUGGUUUAUUAUGGAGUAUUUUUAAACUUGAAUUAUCUAAAGUACGAAUCUCUAAUCUUUGUCCUUUUAUCUCACUGGAUUAGUUCUUUAAAAUAUUUUUUAAUCAACCUCAGUCCUUAAUGGUGAUACUUAAUGAAUAUCUUUGGCCUGUAGUGCAAAGAUGAAUGAUUACCUGAUGAAUAUCUUUGGCCCGUAGUGCAAAGAUGAACAGGUGUUGAGAUGAACAUGACCAACUGGUGAUACAAAUGAAUAUCUUUGGCCCAUGGUGCAAAGAUGAAUAUUUGAUUCAAGAUGUAUAUUGAUUGAUGUUACAGGGAUAAAAUAUUGAUGAUGGACUUUUAAAUUCAUAGAUGAUAGUAGAUUUCAUUCUCUACUUAACUCUUCUAAUGAAUUGUUGUUUCCGCUACAGUUGUUGAUCUAAAACUUAUUAUCUAUUAUAUUCUAUCAUAUUUUUCCCUGUUAAAGACUAAGGAUAAUUUGUUGUAUAUCAUCUUAGUCAUAAUAUUCUUUACUAGGCUAGUUGAGCUCACCCUUUUCCUUUUUGUUCCUUUUUUUUCUCAGGAAGCGAGAAUAUAGCAGGAACCCGUCGAGGUAUAUAGUGAUGGUCCUAGACAGUUGUUUUAGCAGUCCUCACCAUUUUUGUAAAAUAGUGCAUCAAUAAUUGUAAUGAGGACGUAUUUGAGUGUGGAUAUUGUCUAGAAGACAAUAUUUGUAUUUAAACUCACAGUUUAUGUGUUGUCGUAUUUUGCACGACAAUUGUAUUAAUAAAGUUAUAGUUUCUUCUGUACCAUGUAUUUGGCGACUCAGAAUGGGUAAUGUAUACCUAUUUUGGGGGCGUCACAGUUGGUAUCAGAGCUUAGGGAUAUGGUCUCUGGCCGAGAUCGGGGAAUAGAACUAGGAGGGGAGAGACAAGUAAAUCCUUCUCUAGUGUGUCCUACCUAAGCUUAUUUGUUGGUCGAUCAUGAUAUAGGGAUAUUAUGUGAUAUGUCAAUUUGUUUAAUUAACCCUUAUUUUAUGGCAGUGUUUAAGGAUGGCAGUAGAGAACGUUAACAAUGGAGUGAAUGAGACCGUGGAGACACCUCUAAUCACCAACCAGGAUAAUGUGAUGUCAGGCGAAGAAGGGAUUGGAGAUAUUCUUGUGGUGGGGGAAAAAAUUAAUAGUUGCACCCGAGCUACUCGCAGAGGUAGCAGCUGAGAGUGAGGAAGAAGAAGAACCUGAGGAAAAUUUAUUAAAAGAAUUUUAUGAUCGAAAUGUUGAAUUGCAUAAUCUUAUUCAUGAGUUAGAAGAGCGGGUUGAAGAACGGCAGGCGGUCGUGGAGUAAAAGGAUGAAACAAUUCAAGCUUGUGUUACCCGAUAUGUGAUGCUUGAACAGAAGCACUCUGUGGCAGAGUAUAAGAUGAUAAAGAUGGAAUCUGAGCUGAAAGAAGAAACAACUGAACGAGUGAGAAUGAGUGAUGCAUGGGUAAAAGUCGCACGGCGCGUUGAUAUUGUGGAAAGAGAUGUCCGAUCUAAGAAGGCUAAAAUAGAUGAUAUGUAUUUCUCUUUUUGGAAAGCAAUUGAGAGAACCCAACAUCGAGUUUUGAAUUACCCUGUACAUUGCGGUCAACCCCAAUUCGAUAUGGAUCGAAGAUUAAUGAUUCAGAUCAUGAAACAGGAGUACGAUGAAGCAGUUGAGGGUGGAAUAUACCCUAUAGCGAAAGUCAAUUCUAACAGUAAUGAUGACACCAAAGGUUGUCCCAGACAAGUCAAAAUCGGUGGUUCAAGUGAGAGCGCCUUUUGUAACUUUCCAAAAAGCGAGUAACCGAACGAAGUUAUCAUGGGUUAGUUAAUCAUAAAUUUUUGCGAAGUCUAUACCCUGUUAGAUACCGGUUCUACCCAUUCUUUUAUUUCUCUUGCUUGUGCUCAAUGUUUGAACUUGACUUCGGAGAAAUAAGACUUUGACUUAUCUAUUGAAACUCUGUUAUGAGAAAAUUUCGUUACAUCUACAGUUUAUAAAUCUUGCUUGAUCCAAGUUGGCACCAUCACAUUACCUGUUGAUCUUAUCUCUUUAAAGAUAUUUACAUUUGAUGUGAUUUUAGGGAUUGAUUGGUUAACCACUCAUCAUGCUAACAUUGAUUGUUUUCGUAAGGUUAUUAGUUUUUAUAUUCCUAACCAACCUAUUAUGCGAAUUCAAGCAACCAAACCACUAAAGUCAAACACUUUCAUAUUAAGCCAUAAAGUCAUUCGUUUAUUAAAAAAUGGAUGUCAAGCUUUCUUAGCCCAUGUCAUGGACUUGAACAAAAAUACGUCAGAUUUGAAUAAUAUUUCUGUUGUUAGUGAAUUUCCUGAUGUAUUUCCUGAAUAAACUUCUUGGCCUACCCCCAGAGUGUGAUAUUUAAUUUUGUAUCGACUUUAAACCCGAUACAAAACCCAUUUCUAAAAUCUCUUAUCGAAUGACUCCUAUUGAACUUCAGGAGUUAAAAACCCAACUAUAGAAGUUGGUACCCGAGUUUCUAUCUGGUGACUUCCUUUGUGGGAUGCACUGAAGCCAGACUCUCCGUAGGGGACGUCAUAUUCGUGCGGUGGUAAACUGAUAGGCGCCAUUGUGACGUGUUAUCCAAGAUUGGGAUAUGAGUCACAGUUGAGAGCAACUUAAGUUAGUAAUCGAAAUACAUAGCUUUCUAGGCUUAGCUGGUUAUUAUCGGAGAUUCGUGAAAGGAUUUUCUCGAAUCGCUACUCCGUUAACUUAGCUGACUCGUAAAGAUACAAAAUUCAGAUGGAACAAGGAAUGUGAGAAGAGCUUCCAAGAACUCAAGAGGAGACUCAUUUUGGCACCUAUUUUGACAAUACCAUCGUGGAAAAGCGAACGUGGUAGCUGACGCGUUGAGUAGAAGAUCAUAUGCGGGUACGAGUGCGAUGUUGUUAACACAAAGACCCAUUUUUUAUAAUUUACAAACGAUAAAGAUAAAAUUAAAGACUCUAGGGACCCACGUGAUGAUGUCAAAUAUUGGAGUAUAACUAACUUUAAUCGAUAAAUUUAAAGUUGCUUAAGCUACAGACCUGGAGCUGAUGAAUAUGAAGAAGAAGAUGCAAGAAGUCAUUAUUCCAAAAGCGAGAAUCGGUGAUGUGAGGAAAGCUCAAACAUUCGAUUUAUUAGUCCAUUUGAAAUUCCCGAUCGAGUAGGAACUGUGGCCUAUAGACUCGCCUUAACGCUAAGUAUAUCGCGUAUUCAUAACGUUUUUCACGUAUCGAUGUUACGUAAAUAUGUGGAUGACCCAAACCAUAUUAUUGAGUUAGAACCAGAUGAGAUAGCUGAAGAUUUAGCGUACGACGAGGUACCUAUCAAGAUCUUGGAUAGGAAAGAGUAUGUCCUACGAACAAAGGUUAUACCACAAGUCAAGGUUUUGUGGAGGAACCAUGUUAUUGAGGAAAUGACCUGGGCAUUGGAAUCGGAUGUGACGCCCCCAAAUCCGGGUAUCUUCCAACCCGACAGAUGGUGCUACACGGUACUCAUAACUGUACAUUUAUUCUAUUGAAAUGACAUCAAAAUGUGUAUAUCAACGACAUUCUUAUUACAUUAAUAAUAUUACAUCCCGUCCCCAGGUUCUAAAACCAACACAUUCUUUGUUCAUCAUUCUAUAAUAUAUAUAACUUACUAGUUUAUUACAAGGUAAACUAAUCGUUCAGCUUCAUCCUGCCUCUAUCCUUGUCAGAUCCCUCGGUUCGUUCGGUCCUAACUGCAUUCAUAUGGUUCAAGAAAGAGUGAGCAUAACAAACUCAGCAAGUACAACAAUUUCUUUUAAAUAACAUGCUUGAAACAUAGGAAUCGUAUAUCUUCAGUAACUGAACAAUAGUUACAAAGUACUACCGAUAAUUCAAAAUAGCACUUCUUUUCAUUCAAAACGUUUUCCAACAAUAAUAUUUUGUAGAAUAUCAACUAAGGCUCAAGACUGUGACCAAUUCAUAAUUUUUUUUAAAAAGGACAACCCGACACUAAGUCCGUAAGUCCGGCAUAGCUUAUGAGCACUUCUGGGUGAUCAGCCCAUAGUACUCUAUGUUGAUCAACACUACAUCCUGUUAAACGUAUGUACGUUUAAGUUUUGGCAACCUCGCGUGCCCAUCGAAUAAUCGAUGAAAAAUACAUUUGUUUAUUCAUACACAGGCUUACCUUGAAUCAGUACCAAACAAUUGGCGUAUGAUAGUGUUAACAAUUCUAUAUUGAAAGACUUGUAAAUAAAUCAAUCAAUCUUCAAGAUUUGCCUAGCCGAGUUAAAACUGGCAUCGACAUUUUCGUAAAACAAUUCAUGCAUCUCAUAACAUGAAUCACAGAAAACUUGGCUAACACGAAGGUUAGACAAGCGUUUAAGAAAAACUUGCCUUCAGCGUCUGCUACAGUAAAAUAACUUUUCCUUUCAGUCUUUACGGUCUCUACAAUACAUAACCACAUAACAUACUACAUUAGGUCAUGAAUGAACAUACAUGGUUCCUAAUGAAUCUUACCCUUCAUCUCAAUCUAAUCAUAUAUUAGAUUUGUUACUAUUGGUUCCGGCUUGCCAUUAUAUUUUACAUUAUUCUUACCAACUUCUUUCUCUUCUAUGUCUUACGUGGAUUUACUUCAUUAAUAGAACUCGUUUCGAGUUAAUCAUCCUUCCUCACGGCUUACUAACAUUCCUACGUUAUUCGAAACUCGAUCGUCAUUUGUUAAGUACACUUUAUUGCAUUCCGUUUACGUUUACGUAAUAUUUAACAACAUUUAGUUAUAACUCUCAACGUUAUAGUCAUUAUCAUUAUUGAAUACAGUUCACGUUCCUUAUACUUUACGUUCGUCGUUUAACUACUCAUUAAACAACAUUAAAUUCCUAAAGUCAUCACUAUAACAGUGAUUUAGGAAAGGUCUUAUCAUGUUCAUUAAGUAAUUACAUAACCCAUACUGGUAUUGCAAACCAUUGGAUUCAUAAUCAACUUGGUCAACAAAUUUCUACAGCCGGCUUAGCACAUUACGUUGUUCUCAUUACGUUCAUCUUCAAUUGAUUAUUAACCUUUAAUCAUCAUACAUUAAGUGUCUAACAAUGCCUUAACAAUGUUAUAUUAACACCUUAGUUCAUUACUAAUGAGUUAUCUUUCAUUCUAUACUUGUAAACAUUCUUGUCUGUCAAAACUCUGGGACUGGCGCCGCGGCGCCACACUUAGCUCUUCAUCUCGCGCCGCGGCGCGAGUUAGCAGUAUGCCCUGACACUGUUACGGCGCUGCGGCGCCACCAUUUGGCCUUGGGUUGGCGCCGCGGCGCCAACUCUGUGCCUUAGAAAAAUUUUGCAGAUUUUAAAUUUUGUGAAAUUCCCGGACGCAUAACUUCUUCGUUAUAAGUCCGAAUUGGCUCGUUCAAAAGCCUACGGUUCACAAAUUACAUACUCUAUGCGUUCAUGCAAGAAUUUUAUCUAUUUGACUUCGUUUGCUAAAAUUUCACCUAUUAGUUCAUUUUUAACGAAAACGAUAAACGUUCGUGAACGUUCAACGCUCGUUUCUUCGUUCUAAGUCGGAAUUCGGUCAUUUUCGAGUCCGCAACUCUAUAAUGCCAAAUAUGACUUGUCUCCAUUGAAAACCAAUGUUUCCAAGCUCAAUAUCAAAAUUCGACUUCCAUUCCGAGAAUUUCACGAAUUCGACGAUUAUCGUCCAAACUCGUAAAUUUCGCCUUAACUUCAUUUCUUAUGAUUUGUUCAUCGUUUCAAAUGGAUUCAAUCCAUCAUACUAACAUCUUGACAUACAUACUUCAUUAACUUAUAAACAUGAUAAGUUAUUACUUGUUCUUUGUGAGUUUAUAACUUAUAAAAGUAUAAACUACUUAUGACUUCCUUUCUCAUGACUUAUUAUAGAUUAAGUCUUUUAACCACCAUUCUUACUUCUUAUUAUCAUACAAUCUUAUUAAAGUACACAUAUGAGUAGUUCAUAUAAACUCUUCAUAAAUUCAUAACUUAAUUAAGUUUGAAUUACUUAUUCAUGACUUAUACGGCUUAAGUCCAUUGAUUAAUCAUUCCUAUCAUUCCUUAGCAUACAUGUUCUACCACUACCCACCUCUCUAACAAUGGAAGAGAAAGAGAUUCAUGGUUUAAGUUCUUACCCUUGAUAAUCACUUGGUUAAUCUUUAAUAUCCUUCUUGCUUCUUGAAUUCACAAAGACUAACUUAUUCUAGCUUUUGUAGCUUUUUCUCUCUAACCAAUAAGCUCUCAACUUGUUGGAUGAAAUGAACAACCACCAAAAUGAAAUCCAAGCUUGCUAUUUAUAGGACUUCCUAAGUUAGGGCAUAAGGGUCAUUAAUUCAACCCACCUCCUUAAUCACCUCCUUACUAUUCAUUACCUAGACAUUAAGUUAACUUGGCCUCCACAACAUCUAUCCAAUACUUGGGCAUCACAUAUACUUAACCAUUAAGUAUACUUGCUAAUCACAUAACUUAGCCUUUAAGUUUGCUUGUUAAUCACCUAGGUUAUCCUUUGCUUGUUGAUCACAACUUUUACUUGUUCACCACACAUAAGCACUUUACUUGCUUAUCACAUUAAUUACUUGCUCAUUACUUUGGAUCACCCAUGGGUUUAAACCAUCCAAUAACCUAUAAGUUCAUACUUUGGGCUUUUAGCUUAACUUAUACUUGGGCUUGCAUUAAUAAUCAUUAGGCUUGUUCAUUAAUUUACAUUGGACUUAACAAUUCCUAUAUUUGGACUUUAACAUUAAUUCGUAUUAGGAUUUAUUAUUAUCCCAAUUAGACAUUACAAUUUCCUACACAAUUCAACAAAUCCAUUACAUUUGGCUUAAAGCCUUAUAACGUAUAAUUUACGUAUUAAUCUCGUAUUCUAACUCGUAUACUUAUUUAAUAUACGACAUUCCAUCAUUCAUACAUACUCGUAUAAUACCUCGUAUUAUACUUAUAUCCAUUACCUCAUAUAAUACUUACGUAUUGUACAAUCCUUGCUUUAAUUCAUUAUACGCAUUUAAAUUCCUUCUCGAAAUUCAUUUUUCCUAAUCGUUAGGUUUUAAGUCCGCAGGCGAAAAACUGCGUUUGCCAUAACUGAAAUAUUAUUAGAUAUUCCAUCUCACCUCGAUAUUCUAUCAUUACGUAUUUCUCGGAAGUUCAAAAAUAAUUCCCGAGUAGAAAUGCGUGAAUAGUGUUUUUCAGAAAAUUUCUCGAAAAGUUUUUAUUUUCGUCUUGGAAAUUCAAACACUUUAAUUCUAUCAUGUAGCCAAAAUACUAUGACGUUCCGAUAUGUCUAGGUCAUAGAACGACCUUCAAUUAGCUUACUCCCAUAAAUAAUGAAUUAAAUUCAUUUAAUUCACAUACUCAAAAUAAAAAUUUAAUUCUCAAAAAUCUAAAUUUUCUGGGGCGUUACAUCGGAAAUGAAAGCAAGGUAUAUUCACCUUUUUGAAAUACCAGAUACAUACGUCGAUUUCGAGGACAAAAUUUCAUAAGGAGGGGAGGUUGGAAGACCCCGAAUUUUUUUUGUAUAAAUAAAAUUGAAUUUCCUCUAUUCAUUAUCUUGAAAUAUAUAAUAAGGAGUCAAUUUGAUAUAAUACUUUGGUUAUGGGUGAAAUGUGCAAAUUUUUCAAAAUAAGCAAGUGGUUAUAAAAUAUUCUUUGUUGUCGGGGAAUAUUCGUUUGGUCAUGGAAUAUUCUUACUGUCGGGGAAUAUUCGUACGAUGGCGCAGCCUUUUGUGGGCCCCAUAACAGAAUAACUGUCGGAUGAAUAAAAUGACAAGUUUGAGUUUUUAUAAAUAACGACGUAAUUGUUACCGUUAACACUGUUGAAUUACCUGGUGGUUAAAAUACAAUAAUACGCGUGGUUGCAUAGUAGCACACGGUAUUGCACAUUUUUUUGAAUUAUUGAUUCUUACGUAAGAAGGCACUACUCAAUAAUUGUUACAGUAAUUACUGUUCAAUAUUUUAUUGAUUCAAUAAUUGCUGCAUUGAUAUUUUAUAUUAUUGUUGUUUUAAUAAUUGUCAUUGCACAGUAUUUCCCAUUAUCAGAUCAAUAAUUCAUAUUAUUUGAAUAAUAUUAUUAGAUAGUAUUAUUGGCAAUGUCUAAGGAAGUUCUGUCUAGGAAAGGGGUUUGGUCACCUAAUUGCGCGCCAGUAAGGAGAAAUCCUUAUCGGAAAGCCCCCUCUUUCCUGGGAACGAUCUGAUUGUCAUAAUUGUGAUUAUGUAAUAUUAAUUGUGAAUAAUUAAUUAUUGAUUUAUAUGAUAAGAAAAUAUUUAUUUUAUGUGGAUAUAAAUGAAGGAUGGGGAAAUAUUUAUUUUAUGUGAUUAUAAAUGAAGGAAUUAAUGUUGGGGUGUUUUAUUAGUAUUUUGUCAAAAUGAAGAAUGAAAAUUUGAAAUUUCUAGAAAAUUAGUUUAUUACUUGAUUUUGUAAAAUCUAUAAGUCUUUGUAUUUAAUGAGUUAGGAGAUGAGCCAUAUAUCAAAAGAAAUCCCUGGAAGUAAGCUAAACGUAGAAAUUUGAAUCACCCAAAAAUUCUUUGUGGAUUUUUCGUGGUGACUGUUUGAGUGAAACUGGUACGAGGGACUUAUAGUCCGAAAAUCAAAUCAGUGUUCUUAAGCUCUAUUGCGUGAGUUAUAAUUUUGAUCCAACCGUUGGAUCGUUGUGAUUUUUAGAUAUGUUAUACAUCUAUAAGUUGAUUAUAUGUCCACAAAUUUUGAACCGUUAAAAAUUAACGUAUGAUUUGUUAUGACUUUCAAGAGGUAUUGAAAAUCGUCCGUAUGUGGAUUUCGAUCAUUUUUCGUUUGGAAUUUGGAAAAACUUUCUACUACAAAGUUGUAGAGAAUUCGAUUUCCUAUGGAAUAGACAUGAGAUUCGAAUUUUUUUGAUAAAAGGGCUAUUUAUUAUGAAUUAUUGAAGUUUCAGAAAUAAAUAUUUUAUUAAAAAUAUGGGUGGGCCCCACUUUUGGGUGUUGGGAAAAGUUGGCUUAUUUUUGGUGGGCCCCACUUAUGGGGGCUGAGUUUUGUUUAAAGGUGGCAUGCGUAGAAGAAGAAAUUUUAUUUCUUUAUUAAUUUAGUCUCCUUUGGCGUUUUAGCAUUUUCCUAUAAAUAUGGUGCUUAGUUAGAACUGAAAAUCACACCAGAAAUAAGCUUUCUCUCUCUCUAUAUAUAUAUAUAUUAUCGAGCGUAUUUUGUGAGUAUUUAGAUACUUUGAGAGUUGCUAUUCAGUGCAAGUUUUCUUCGGCUUUACAUCCGAUAUUCCAGUCAGAAGUACUGUUCUUUUAAGGUAAGGGAUAUUAUUUUCUUCGUAAAUGAUAUUAUUUUCUUCAAUAUCAUUAUGUUGAAAUAUUGAUAUGAAUUUUAUUGUGGAAUUUCUACCUUUUUUGUGUCGAGGUUACUAUUCACGUAUACGAAACUAUUCACGAAUACGGUACUAUUUACGAGUAUUGUUCAUGAAGUAUGAUUUUUCUUGUGGAAUUACUACCUUUUUUGUGUCGGGGUUACUAUUCACUUAUACGACACUAUUCACGUAUACGACACUAUUCACAAAUACAGCACUAUUCACCGAAAAAUAAAAUUUUCUCUUCUUUGUCCCAGAUGUCUAUUAUGGUUACUAUCUUUGAUUGUAUCCAUGUUUUGAUUUUCAUUCUUGAAUUUUACUCCAUUAUGGUUUAUUAUGGAGUAUUUUUAAACUUGAAUUAUCUAAAGUACGAAUCUCUAAUCUUUGUCCUUUUAUCUCACUUGAUUCGUUCUUUAAAAUAUUUUUUCAUCAUCCUCAGUCCUUAAUGGUGAUACUUUAUGAAUAUCUUUGGCCUGUAGUGCAAAGAUGAAUAAUUACCUGAUGAAUAUCUUUGGCUCGUAGUGCAAAAAUGAACAGGUGUUGAGAUGAACAUGACCCACUGGUGAUACAAAUAAAUUUCUUUGGCCCGUAGUGCAAAGAUAAAUAUUUAAGAUGUAUAUUGAUUGAUGUUACAGAGAUAAAAUAUUGAUGAUAGACUUUUAAAUUCAUAGAUGAUAGUAGAUUUCAUUCUCUACUUAACUCUUCUAAUGAAUUAUUGUUUCCGCUGUAGUUGUUGAUCUAAAACUUGUUGUCUAUUAUAUUCUAUCAAAUUUUUUCCUGUUGAAGACUAAGGAUAAUUUGUUGUAUAUUAUCUUUGUCAUAAUAUUCUUUACUGGGCUAGUUGAGCUCACCCUUUUCCUUUUUGUUCCAUUUUUCUUCUCAGGAAGCGGGAAUAUAGCAGGAACCAGUCAGGGUAUAGAGUGAUGGUCCUAGACAGUUGUUUUAGCAGUCCUCACUAUUUUUGUAAAAUAGUGCAUCAAUAAUUGUAAUGAGGACUUAUUUGAGUGUGG
rnacentral:lncRNA from 1 species